rnacentral:lncRNA from 1 species
AGUCCACAAGUAAUUAUGCAAUUCAUCCUGAAAGAGUUAUGAUUGCAUAUCUGAUGUACAUAUUUGCCCAUCUGGGUUCUGUUUUUCAGUUUUACAUUUGGUGUUUGAAGAAACAAUAUGAUGGGUUUAAGUACUACACGGCCACUAUUUGUGAUACAAACCAUAGUAAGAGAUGGGUUUAAGUACUAUGCGCCUAUGCGGCUAACACUCCUGAUACAAACCAUAAUAAGAGUAAUAUAUUUCUCCACCUGUUUAUUAAAGUUUUUAACCUUUUUUUUUUCUAAUAUAUCUUCUAAGAACUAGGGAGGUGGUGGAUAAAAUUCAGAUUGAAUUUUUAACCUCAUAUCUUCUCAGAAUUGGAAUUUGGAUGACCUUUAAAUAAACUACUUGCAAACUACUUACGAAAUUUGAAUGAGCAUUAAAUAAAAUUAUUUGAAAACUACUUCCGAAAGCUUUUUAAUUUCUGUGUUUCAUUUUGUUUUUAAUAAUUUAAAAAAUGUAACCUGCAAUUUCUGCAAGUAAUCAGAAAGCUACAAUAGAAUUUGCUUGCAUUUAUCUGAUUAAAAAGGCAUUACAGAUUUUGUAUGAUACAGUCAGUUUUUAUAUCAUAUAAUAUCCCAGAAAUUAUAAAUUAAUUAAUAAAAAAAAGAACCAAAAUAAGUCAAAUAUAGAUCCUUAAGUGGUCAUCAUUAAACAUUUGUUCACAUAUUAAUUACUCAUUUUCUUGAGAUUAAUAUAUAUACAAACCUAUGCCUUAAAUUACUUUCCAAUGUUUUCUGCUCGCGCAAUGAAAAAUUUAAGACAUAGAUAGGGACCAGCAAGGGCGGCAGCUGUCCUAAUAAAUAUUAUUUUUCUAGAAUAUUAAUUUUAAAUUUCAAGCAAAUUUUUUAUUUGCCCCCUCAAUAAAGCUUUUGAUUUGCACCCAUGAUGAGCUUUAAAUAAAAUACGAUAAUUAUAUUUUCAUCACAUAAAUUACUUUAAAUAAGUAGAUUAUUUACUAGAUUAAAUGCAUUAUAUGCCUAAAUAAAGAAAAAAUUCUUUUGAGUAAAUUAAUAUUUCCCAGCAAUUCACUAAGUAUGGCUUCACAGUUCAAAAAGAACAACUCUAAGCACUAUAAAUUUUUAGUAAAAAUAAUAAAAUAAUAUAUAAGAAAAAGAAUAACAAUACCUCCUUACUCCUUAGGUUAAGGAAAUGGCGAAAGAUAUCUCUUUGUUUUAAUAAAUGGUCAUAUGAAUCCAUUUUCAAGAUACACAUGCUCUUUUUUUAACACAAACUUUUUUUCGUGUUAAAAAAUAAUCACAGACUUACAUAAAUCCUUAAGAUUUAUUCAUAUAGUCUGUAUUUACUAUAUCACGGAAGUAGAGUGACUAACUCCCUAAUAUUUGUUGGCACAUGCUAUCCACGAAUCAUGAUAGAUUAGUGCAUGGAUAAAUAUUGAUAAUCUAAAGUGAUUUGGCAGUUUUUUAGUUAAUUUUGUUAAACUCGUGGUCAAGAAGUGUAGAAUAUGACAACUAUUCAAAAUUAUUUUUUAAAAAAAAGAAGGAAAUAAUUUUCAGCCAAUUUCAUAGACUUCUCAAUCACAUUGGGUCUAGAAUUCGAGCAAAGCUAGAGGUGGUAAUAUCCUAUAUGAAUUUGUCAAGUUUUGAUUGACAAAAAUUGACCGAAUUAAUAACACUUUCGUUGAUAAAGGAUAGAAUUUAUAAAAAAUAAUGUUUAAUUUUUCUGAAAUGCUAACUCCACACACUGUGGUUGCCUUGGCUGCGAAAAUAUUAUCAUUAUUGUGUGAAUGGGAUGUUGAGAAAAAAAGAUUUUUUUUUUCAAUGACUCUAAACAAGUAAUGAUAUUAGUGUUGUAAUGUUAAAAAGUCAACUGAGAUUAAAGAAUCCUUUAAUGUGUGAUGGAGAUUUACUUUUAUAUUCGAAGUCAUGCUCAUAUUAUUAUAUUGAUUGUUAAAAAAGGAUUGAAAUAAGUUGAAGAAGAAAUAGAAAAUGCCCAUGAGAGUAUAAAAUAUGUCAAAGGGUCAAAUAUGAGAAAAAAAAAAUUCUUCUAGUGUGUUAAGUAUUUCUAGAUGACAAGAAAAUGUUAGGAAAUUGGUGGGUGAAGCAGACACGCAGCUAAAAUAAAAUUAGAAGAAAAAUAAAGAACAAGCACAAAAGAGAACACCAGAAAUUACGUGGUUCGGCUUUUAGCCUACGUCCAUGGGCAAAAACAGAAGGAAAAUAUUAUACUAGUAAAAAGAAGUUACAAGUAUUGUAGUAUUUUAGCUCAUUACCCAAAACUCGAAUACACCCAAACUCUCAAAUCACUAAACACACAAAACUCUCUGCUCUGCAAGAAUUACUUCUCACAACUCUCGACUCUCUCUACAAAAUUGGAUUCAAGCUCUUAAAUUAAGAACUUGUAUUUAUAGGCAAAACUUUGCCAAGAAAGUCAAAAAGAUGGCUUUGAUUUUCAAGCAAUAUAGCUGCAAAUUUCAAGUUUUCAAACUUUGAAAUUUUGAGCUUUGAAUUUUUCUUUUUCUUUUUCAAACAUCCGGUGCCAACCAUUUUGCUUCUUCAAACCUUCUAGAUGCAGUUUCUAGAUGCUGCAGCCAAAUCUUUUGACAUUCUCCUACUUGGAGAUUUGAUUGAGGAUCAAUCAAUCUCCACACCAUCCUUUCUGCUUCGCCAUAAUCAUGUUGCCUACGUUUCUGCUAGGCCACAAGAGGAUCUACUCCAGAUAAACUUGUCAGCAUUGAUCGGCUUGGUCAAAACAUCUGCUAGGUUCUCCUUCGUAUGGAUUUUUUAUAAAUCCACACUUCCGUCUUCCACUACUUCUCAAACGAAGUGAUACUGAACUCCUAUGUGCUUUGUCCUGGAAUGAAAGGCUGGAUUCCUUGCAAUGUGCAAGGCACUCUGACUGUCACAAAACACAGAAAUUUUCUCUUGUUUGUGACCGAGCUCCUCCAAUAACCUUUGUAUCCAAUAGCUUCCUUGCAAGCUUGUGUAGCUGCCAUGUAUUCUGCUUCUGUUGUAGAUAAGGCCACAACGGUCUGCAGUUUUGAAACCCAGCUUAUAGCUGCUCCCGCAAGUGUAAACAUAUAACCAGUAGUGGAUUUUCUUUUAUCAAGAUCUCCUGCAAAAUCUGAAUCCACAUAUCACCUGACAGUAAACUCUGAUCGUCCAUAACAUAACGCAAUAUCAGAGGUUCCUCUGAUGUAUCUCAGAAUCCUCUUCACAGCUAUCCAAUGCUCUCCACCAGGAUUCGUCAUGUAUCGACUGACUACUCCCACUGUUUGUACAAUGUCCGGUCUAAUACAUAUCAUAGUGAACAUCAAACUUCCCACUACUGAUGCAUACGGUACUCGAGACAUCUUAUUCCUCUCUGCUUUAUUGCUAGGACACAUACUUGAGGAUAAUUUAAAAUUAACAGGAAGUGGGGUAGAAAUUGACUUACAAUCUUACAUGUUGAAGUGCCACAAGAUUUUCUUCAAGUAGUUCUUCUGUGAAAGCCAAAUCUUCCUAUUAUUUCUGUCUCGGUGAAUUUCCAUCCCUAGAAUCUUGUUUGUUGGUCCCAAAUCCUUCAUUUGAAACUCCCUAGCCAACUGUGCCUUUAAUUCUUAAAUUCGAUCUUUGUUGGGGCCUACUACUAACAUAUCAUCCACAUACAACAGCAAAAUAAUGAAAUCAUUAUCUUCAAACCUCUUGUAAUAUGCACAAUGGUCUGAACUGAAUCUGUUGUAUCCAAGGCUCAUAACGAAGGAAUCAAAUCUCUUAUACCAACACAUCGACGCCUGUUUGAGACCGUAUAGAGAUUUGUUCAACCUGCAAACCAACUUCUCCUUUCCUAUUUCUGUAAAACCUUCUAGUUGGAGCAUAUAUAUUUCUUCUUCAAGUUCUCCAUGAAGAAAUGCAGUUUUCACAUCUAACUGCUCAAGAUGUAAGUCAAAUGUAGCACACAUCGCCAAGACUACUCUAAUUGUUGUGAGUCGAACCACCAGAGAAAAUAUCUAAUUGAAGUCAAUAUCUUCUUUCUUAGUAUAUCCUUUCACUACCAAUCUUGCACGAUACCGCUCCACUUGGUCAUUGCCAUCACGCUUGAUCUUGUAGACCCAUUUGUUUCCAAUGGCUUUUCUUCCAUGUGGUAGUGGUAUAAGUUUCCAUGUCUUGUUCUUGUGUAGAGCUUUAACUUCUUCCUACAUUGUUGUCAUCCACAAAGCAACAUCUGAGCUGUUUAAAGCUUCAUAGAAAGUUGAAGGCUCUCCAUCCUUCGUUAGAAGACAGUAUAUGAUAACUCUAAGAAAUAAGAGUUAUUACAUCAAUUCUAAACUUAAAUCAAGAUUAUUUAGAGAGCAAAUAAGAUGUUUUUACUACAUUUCGGUUACCUUUUGCAUAAACAUUCAUUUUAGUUGGGUUUUAAUAAGUUUUGUUUAAAUCAAGUAAUUUGUGCUAAAAACAGGUGUAUAAUUAUAGGUUUUAAAUUCAUAAAAGGAUGAUGAGACAUUAGAUGAGUAAGAGGAGGAAAGAAGAUGGCUACAAAAAAAGACAAGCACAAUCGGGAAUAAUGCAGUGCUGUUGUGGAUACUAGAGCAACCAGUGCUGCAGCAAUCAGAGAGCAAUGCGAGAGAAAGCUUAAAGCGUGGGUCAGCCAUAAAAUUGCGAUCUGCAUGUUUCCUAAUUUAAACGCAUGCACGCACAUGGACUUUGGGUCGUUUACCCUAAUUUGCAAUAUAAAAGGAGGCGUGCACCACAUAGAAAGGUGGCAAGGAAUUAUUAUCAAACAUAAUUACAAAGGCAAGAAGAAGGAGAUCAAGAUUUAGGAGUGCUAUUCGGAAACAAAAAAAAGGACCGUGCAGAAUUAUUUUGUCUUUCAUCGUGCUCAACUUAUAUUUUUUCUUCUUCCUUGAAUUGUUUGGAUGUAUUCCGAGAUCAAUAUAUUUGUGUUUAUUUUUCUCAUCCAGAUUAUGAACUAAAUUUACUUAUGGUUGAGUGACAAAUAAUCCAAUGGCACUACUAGAAAAAUGAGAUUUACUGAUACUAAAUUAGUGUCAGUAAUUACUUUUCCUGACACUUGUUAAUUGUGUCAAUAAUGCUCCAGCCAGAACACACUGAUACUGAAAAUUAGUGUCAGUGAUUUUUGUGUCAAUAAUUUUUGUCACAAUAAUAUCACUAAAAUAAUGACACGAUGGUAUCAGUGUUUAAUGAUAUUAUUUACAUGUCAAUGAUUAAUGUGACUACAAUAUCAGGAGCACAUUGAUUCAUUAACGUAAAUUAUUAUUCAUGUCAUUUUAAAAUAUUUAGUGUCAGUAUUUAUUGAUGUUAUGCUGCUUUUGUUAAUAGUAUAUUUUUAUUUUAAUUAUAUUUUUUUUCUACAAUCAAAAGAAAACUCAAAAUAUAUUAAAUAUACCAAAUCUCACAACACAAUUCACAUAACAAACAUUCCAAAUACAUAAUUUAAAUUAAUGUAAUUCAACUACACCACUGUUUGGAAAAGAAAAACAUAAUUAUCAAAUUAAGCUUUCGACAAGUUCUAGACAAUAAAGUACUAAAUUAAGUUUCAACAAACAUUAACGGACAAAAAGAAGCACAAGAGUGUCAAUAAAUAUCCAUAUGUGGCUUCAUUUUUUUCCCACCUACAAGUACAUAAAAUCAAUUAGUACACAACAAAUAAUAAAUCUUGGAUAUUUGGAAGAAAAAAUCAUCAUAAAUUACUCAUAUAUUACCUUGUGAUUUUGGGCUAUAAUUAACUUGGCAACAUAUGUAGCCCAUUGAUUAUGAAGUCGCAAGAGCUCUUUCAUGACGUACAAGCAACAAUAUUGUAACAUAUCCCCACUAAUAACAACCUCGCAAUUAAUCCAUAUAAUUGUUUUGUACAUCUCAUGGUUAUUCACAUAAUCUCUCCAACAAUACGCAGUGUGCCAAUCAUUAAAUGUUCAUCAGUUAAUUAAUAUAGAGAGAGACAAAAAUUUUUAAAAAGAAUCUAGCUACCACUUUUUUGAUCGCUAUCAUUAACCUCUCUUAAAUCGUAAGUGAGUGAUGUGCAGUAAGACGGGCCUUAGUGGCUUUUAAUAAGUCGAGCUAAUUCAUAAGUGAAGUAACUAAUAAAAAUUAAGACUUAAAAUAAAAAAAUGUCUUCAUAUUCUUUAAUGGCCUUAUAAGUUUUUUUGUUUUUCAUGUUUGGUCAAUGAAGAGAGUGGGAUUCUGGUGGUUGUGUGAGCCGCUAGAUUUGCCAUGCUGGCGAUCAUGGAGUUCUAAUUUUUGGCUAUUAGGUUGAAGCAAACAAAUAUUUAGGCUUAAGUACAGUGACAAUUUGACACAACUAUCAACGAAGUUUUGCAUGCAAAACACAACUUUUAAAAUGAAGAAAUGAGAAUAAUGUCAAAUAAAAAAAGAAUAAUUGAAUAAUUCCAUUUAAGUAUUUAACCAUUCAACUUUUUAUAUGAACACAAGUUUAGCACUCACGCGCUAAUAAAUUUUGGCUGUGAAAACUAUUUAGUUGGAGUAGAGAUACAAACAUGCAAAAUUUGUAAGCUCAUGUUUAUUUGACAUAUAUUUCUCAAAUAAAGAAUGAUGCAGAAGCAAAUCCUUUAAUAAUUGUAAAGGCAUAUCAUUUAAACAAACAAGAAAACUGCAUACCAUGAUGAACCCCUUUCAAAGUGUAAGCUGGUCAGCACAAACCACUUUCAAAGUGUAAGAUAGUCAGCACAAACCACUGAGUGCCCAAAUUCGCAGAAGAAGCAGGUCUAUAAGUUGACAAAACCAGCAACCUCAGUCAAAAUUAUGAUACCAAUGCACGCAGUUAGAGGUAUGAUCAUAGUUAUCAAAAAUAAAGAUAUGCUCUUCCGGCUACAUAGGGGAAAAGAAAAGCAUUAAGUGUAUUAUACUUCUUCCAGCCACUUAAACAUGAGGUUUGAUUUCUGAAGAUAAUCAAUGAUUAUUAUUAAACUAAUCGCAUAGUUAAUUAUUUCUUUGCUGCCCAAAAGGUUGUUUCCCUAAUACUCCUAGCAGUAUCCUGGCUGAAGAUUUCAUUUCUCAAAUAAUUUUAUAUGCAGUAGAGUUGGCUUAACCAACUUCUCAUCCAGUGAGGAGAAAAAAAGAAGAAAAAAGCAGUCUAAUUUUACUGCUAUCCAUAGCACUCCACUUAACUUUAUGAGAAUCUCAUUCUAGUUAAUUGAAUCAUGAAGAAGAGUAAUUAUAUUACAGCGAAUGGUAAGGGCACUGCCCUGCUUAGUUUCCAGUGUAAUGUACAGAUUCCAGAAACAUCUCUUUCUCUGAGCUAUUUUCUCAGCAACCAAACAACAUCUCUGUUUUCUUUCAUAUGCAAAGAGAUAAAAUGGAUCAAUUUAAAUGAAGAAAGAACAAAAAGUCUUAACAUACCACCCAGAUAAGCAAUUUAUUCGGGGCCAAAGGAUUCAAUGUAUGGUAUCUGACAAAGGUUGUUUGCCUUGUAUUGUCAACUCUCUUGCAAUUUCUAUUCCAGAAAAAAAAUCAGCUGCUCAUUUAUGAUAAAAACAAAAUUUAAAAUAAAAUCAAUAGAUCUAAAAUCAAUUGUGGCUUUAAGGAACCUAAAGCCACAAUGUUAAUUGAUCUUAAAAGUUUGUUAUAAAAUCAUAUGUAGAAGCAGUUAGUUUCAGUAAGAAGUACACGACAUUUAGUAGAGCAAUUUUAAAGAAUUCUCUAUACAAAACAAAAAAGGCAUGGAUACCCGUUGAUUUCUCUUACUGGUCACAGGACACUUAGGUCCAUUAUCUCUUUUCUUCAUGCUCUAUUUAUCCAUUUAAGGUUACCCUGAACAGAUAUUGUGGUGGUAUAGCAGCGACGACGGAGAUUGAGGCAGUGCGACAGUGACGGAGCGGCUGACAGAGGCUGAGAAGUUAUUACCGGUGACGAACGGCUGAGUAUUGAUGAUAACUGGAAGUAGUUACGGCCUAUUGGUGAUGAUCGCAGUGGAUUAGUUACUGGUGACGGUCAAAAAUCAUAAGUUACGACAGUGGGUUUCCAACUUUGGUGCACGAGAUAUGAUAGGAGAUGACGACAACAAAAGAGACAAAAAUAUAGAGAACAGACUUUGGUGCAUCGGAGAUGACGGCAGUGGCUAGUCGAAAGUAGUGACGGCAGUGGCUAGUCGAGAGUGGUGACGAAAGUGGCAAAAGAGAUUUUGGGUAUGUCGGCGGCGUGGUAGUGAUUUGUUUUGUUUUCGAUUGACAAUAUGAUGAAAUGAGGGAAAGAGAUUAGGGAUUUUACUUUUGCUAUUAUAUUUUUGUUUUUAAUUCUUUUAAAAAAUACUUGUAUCUUGAAUCUGUAGGUCAUGUGGUCUUUGGUUCAAAUGUAAAAACUUUAAAUUUUAAAAGUCUUUAGUUCGAGUCGGAAGAUUUACAAAUCAUAGUAAUUUUUUUUUUAACCUCUGAUACUUCAGUGCCAGUGGUUUUUGAUACUUAAUUUACUGAUACACUGAUAUCAGUAAUUUGUGAUACAUAUUUGUUAAAAGCAGAAAAUGGUGCAUAUGCAUACAAUUACUGAUACUUUUUACAAAAUGUCAGAAACUAAGUGUCAGUAAAGGUCAUUUUUGUAGUAGUGUGGGUUCUUGACUGUUCUUUUAUGUUGUUAUGGUAAUGCUGUAGCAUUAUACUCUAGUAGUUUUUAUGAAUACAACUGUUAUUUCGGUUGACCACCCAUUUAAUAAUUUCAGUUAAUAUAGAGCAGAAAAAGGGCAUGUCCUAGCGGACAUUAUUAGAGUAUUAUUUGUUCCUAAGUCGAGUUUCCUGGAUUAGGUUACCUUGAAUCCCAUAAGGGCAAUACUUGAAGUUAAGAUUUGUGACACUCUAGACAUAGGUGUUCACCUUGUAUGGUGGAGAGAUUAAAGGUUAUAAUGUCGUACUAUAAAUAUAUGAGCAACUGGUCAUUGUUAGUAGAUUUAAAGGUAAGAGAUUUCCAACAUGCGAUAGCUGCAGAUGCUGAUUUAUUCUACCCAUUGCUGCAGCACUUAUUGUAACAACUGGUGCUAAUUUAGUAAACAACAGUCACCCCAUUAAGAGAGUUUGAUCAUUCAACUACUAUAUUCUCAAUUGAAUCUUAGACACAUUUAACUUAGUUUAUUUCAUUACAGUAUUGUUUUAUUUCUAUCUCUCACAAUUAUUAGUUACGAUAGAAUUAUUUGACAAUUGUUUGUUUCGGUCUUUAGUUGAUUUGCACUAUUGUGAUUGCUUUAGUAUUUUGAGUAACAUCAAUCCGUGUGGAGACGAUCUUGAAUACUUAUCACUUUAUUACUUGUUGUGUAUACUUGCACAUUGGCAUUGAUAAUAAUUGAUUAUUGAAAUCAAUCAACAAGUUUUUGGCGCCGUUGCCGGGGAUUGAUUGUUUAUUUUUUAAGUGUGAAGUAAAUCUUGAUAGCGCCAAAUUUGAUUUGAUUUGAUUUAUUCUAUUUUUGAUGUAGACAAAACCAAGAUAGAGGUAAUAGAUAAACUGCCACCUCCAACUUCAGUAAAGGGUAUUAGGAGUUUUUUGGAUCAUGCUGGAUUCUACAAAAGAUUCAUUAAGGAUUUUUCCAAAGUAGCUAAGCCUAUGUGUUCAUUACUGGAGCAUGACAAACCAUUUCACUUUGACAAUGAGUGCCUUCAAGCAUUUGGAGAAUUAAAGAAAGCUCUGAUCACUACUCUAAUAGUUAUAUCUCUAGAUUGGACUUUACCAUUUGAAUUGAUGUGUGAUGUAGUGAUCAUUCUGUGGGAGCAGUAUUAGGGCAAAGAAAGGAUAAGGUUUUUCAUUUCAUAUACUAUGCAAGCAAAACGUUCACUCCAACUCAGAUCAAUUACACCACUGCAAAGAAAGAGUUGCUAGCAGUAGUUUUUGCUUUUGACAAAUUCAGAGCUUAUCUUGUGGGUACUAAAGUAACUGUUUACACAGACUAUGCAGCCAUCAAAUAUUUAAUUUCAAAGACGAAUGCCAAACCAAGAUUAAUCAGAUGGAUCUUAUUGCUUCAAGAAUUUGAUUUGGAAAUUAAAGAUAGAAAGGGGACUGAGAAUCAAGUGGCAAACCACUUGUCACGGCUGAAAGCAAACACUAGUACAUUGACAAGGAAGGGCAUCACCGAAACUUUUCCUAAUGAACAGCUGUUGGUAGUACAGUAAGCAUAAAUGCUGCAGCAGUCAGAAUCUCCAUGGUAUGCAAACUUUGCUAAUUACUUAAUGAGUGGGUUUCUACCAUCUGAGCUGAAGUUUCAAGAGAAAAAGAAAUUUUUUCAUGAUGUUAGAAGUUAUCAGUGGGAUAACCCACAUUUAUAUAAGCUAUGCUCAGAUCAAGUAAUAAGAAGAUGUGUUGCAGCAGAAGAAAUACCUCAUAUACUGGAGUCAUGUCAUACUGCAGCAUAUGGAGGACAUUUUGGUGGUCAUAGAACAGCUGCCAAAGUUAUGCAAUCAGGUUAUUAUUGGCCCAUUAUUUUUAAAUAUGCUUAUAAAUUUGUUAAAUGUUGUGACAUGUGUCAAAGGACAGGGAACAUAACUAGCAGACAUGAGAUGUCAUUGACUAACAUACUGGAAGUGAAAGUUUUUUAUGUUUGGGGAAUAGAUUUCAUGAGACAUUUUCCCCCAUCCUUUGGGAACUUAUAUAUCCUUGUUGCUGUGGAUUAUGUCUCCAAGUGGAUAGAAACUGCAGCAUUACCUACCAAUGAUGCUAAAACCGUGGUGACUUUUCUUCAGAAAAGUAUUUUUUUUAGGUUUGGCACUCCUAGAGCAAUUAUCAGUGAUGAAGGCACACAUUUUUGCAACAAAAUCUUUGCUGCAGCAAAGAUGAAAUAUGGAGUCAGACACAAGAUAACAACAACAUAUCACCCACAAUCCAAUGGUCAGGCUGAAGUGUCCAAUAGAGAAAUUAAAAAGAUCUUAGAAAAAGUGGUGAACCCAACAAGGAAGGAUUGGUCUUUGCAUUUGUAUGACUCUCUAUAGGCCUACAAAACAACAUACAAAACUCCACUCGGCAUGUCUCCUUACCGAAUUAUUUAUAGCAAAGCGUGUCAUUUGCCACUAGAGCUCGAGUAUAAAGAACAUUGGGUACUGAAGAAAUUAAAUUGGGAUAUGCAUGCUGCAGCAGAGCAAAGGAAACUUCAACUUUGUGAGCUUGAUGAAUUACAGCUAUUUUCAUAUGAAAAUGCGAGAAUCUAUAAAGAGAGAAUAAAACACUGGCACGACAAGCAUAUUCAACACAGAAAAUUCACCCCUGGUCAAUUAGUGUUGCUUCACAAUACAAGACUAAGAUUAUUUCUAGGAAAGCUCAAGUCAAGAUGGUCUGGCCCGUUUAAGCUGUUAAAAUCUUACCCUCAUGGAGCUAUUGAUCUUCCAAAUGAACAAACAGGCCACAAGUUCAAGGUUAAUGGACACAGGGUUAAGCAUUACAUACAUCCAGCAUCAGAAUGUUCAAAGAAGUGUUACUCCUUAAAGAAUCCAACUAUUGAACAAAGAAAGAAGGUCAGGCUGAAGGACCUUAAAUCAAGCGCUUCAUGGAAGGCAGCCCAUUAAAGAGAUAGCCACUUCAAACCAAUUUUGAUAUCCUUUGGUUUCGUAGACAGCUCUUCUUCUUUUACAUUUUAUUUAAUCCUGUUUUUCCAUAUUAACCAUUUAUUUUUAUCCUUUUCCAUUAUUGCAUACUUUAGUUUCACUUUAAUUUGAUAUAUCUAUCUCUUUUAAUAAUUUUAGACUUAAUUUUAGUAAGUGUGACAAUUGAAUUCCAUAUUGACACGUGAGAGUGUAUGGUGGCAGAAUGCAGAGGUGAACCACGCGUCAGAAGCUUUCGUGGGGAGUAUGUAUUCGUUGUUAGAAUAAGUGAAUGGAUACUGCAGCAGCUAAUUUUACCGUUAUAGUAAAUUAAAAGCUGGAGCCUUUCACUUACCGUUGGAGAUAAAAUCGUGACAGAUGGACGCAUGGAUAUGGAUAGAAAUUGCGGAAACAAAUCUCCGAAAUUAAAGCUUUAAAUUCACUGGCCGAUGAUUUUGGGAUAUGCACAUUUAAUUCAAAAUAUUUUAUUCCCUCAAUUAUUUCAAGUUACCGUAUUUAUCUCCAAUUACAAGUCCACUAUAAAAUGAGUCACUGUGUUUAGUACUCUACGCCACUAUUCCCCAUCUCUUUCACAAAUCCAACUCUCCUAAUUCUUCACCUCUUCUUCUCUUUUUUACUCUCAGGAACAGUAGCCGCAAUUUGUUACUGUUACAGCAAUGCCGAGAUACAAGAAAACAGCAAGCCGCCUCAAAGAUCCGUCACGAUUCCAGAGUUACCACGCUGAAGAAAAAUAUGAAGAAUUCAUAGAGCCGCAUCGGAUUCUAGAAGAAAAAGGAUUUCAAUUUCCAGACCAACUAACGGGAAUUGUGUAAACAAUUCAUAAUGCUGUAGCAAAAGAAGGAUGGCGAGAGUUUUGCAACCACCCUCGAGAUCUUGUGCUGCCUGUAGUCAAAGAAUUUUACGCCAAUUUAGGGCAUCAUGGGCUAACGAGGAAGGGCGUGUAGUUAAUAUGAUAGAUUUAAAACCUAUUGCUAAGGUGUGGGUGAAAUUUCUGAAAUCUAGGCUUAUGCCCACCACUCACACUACUAUAGUUUCGCAAGAACGGUUGGUCUUGUCAUAUGUCAUAGUUUGGGGGCUUCCUAUAGACGUAGGUAGCAUUAUUGCGAAAGAAAUCCGAGAUUGUGCAGUUAAAACUCACUGAACUGCUGCCUUAUUAUUUCCCUCACUCGUCACCAGCAUUUGUGUAGUUUCAGGUGUUUGUCUUGACGCCAGAGAUGAACAUGUAAAAAAUGAUGGUGCCUUUACGGCACAUACCAUUGAGCGAGUUGCUGGUGAGAGUGCUGGAACAACCACUGAACCAGCUAUUGUCACAAGAGCAAGACGAGCUAUUGGCUUAGAACAGACUAUCCAGACACUCAGCAACAGUAUAACUCAAUGUGUGGAAGCUCAGUAGAGGGAAAAUGGUCGGUUUUGGAGUUCUCUACAGCACUUGGACAACCAACUAUACCAAUUUUCUCUGUACAUGAAACGCACUCACCGGAACUUCCCUGAUGCACUGCUCCAGCAAUUUAAUUUUGACACCCACACCACAAAUGCUCCAGCGGAGGCUAGUGCAGAAGCCACUGCCACAGAGAAACCAGCAGAAGAUGUUGCAGCCGAACCACAAGCAGAUGAAGAAUCAGAAGACACUGAACUAUCUGACCAGCCUGAGGAAGAAGGUGACAAGUCCGAGACUGAUAACUCACCUACAGAGGAAGAAGACAACUCGGAGAAAGACCAUGAGGGACCAACCAUCCCAACCCAACUCAAAACCAGACAAAAGCACAUUAUUCAAGAAGAGAAUGAGGAUGACCUUGAAGAGGAGCCGUCUAUUCCAGUCUUUGAGAGCAAGAGAAAGGACAAGGGUAAAGCAAAAAUGGCAACACCAACAGCCUCUGAAGAUAAGAUGGAGCCAAUUGAUGCUGAGCUGGCUGCUGCAGCAGCCAGGGCUAUGCCUACACUUGAGCAAGCCAAGCAACUACUUGCGGUUAUUGCUGCCAUCACAGCUGAGGUCCAGGUAACCGAUGCAUUAACUCAAAAGCCUCUACAACACACUCUUAGUCAGUCUCUUCGCACCAAUCUAAGACGAUCCAGCAAACGAAAAGGCAGUACAUCUACAGGUACUGCUACAGCAACCCCAGCCACAACUCAUCUCACCAGCCCCGUAGCGAAAAAGACAAAGACAUUGCCAGCCACUUCCCCAAAAGCUUCACCAAAAGAUAAACUGCGCAGUGCAUCCAAGAAGUGCUGAUAACAUCCUGUCAUGUACUGUAGUCCCCACCACAGGGGAGUACUCUUUCCUUACUAGUUCAUUCAAUUUAUGUGCCUUUGCUAUAUUUGCUUGUGAGGACACAACAACUCUCAAGUUUGGGGGGGGGGGGGGUUGUGUUCCCGAAUGCAUAUGUUUAGGUUUGUAUGCAUGUGUUUAUGUUUGUGUGGUGUGGAGCUCUAUUAUCUAAUAUUUGUGUAUGGAUUUGAAAGCCUAAUGAAGAUAAAUUGAGUGUUAUUCAAUAUAUAUAUGCCAAGUAGAGAUAAUUAUAUAUGAAAGUGACAUUAUAUCCCUACACGUAGACUUUGGUUGAAUUAUAUGAGACUGUUAGAGCAAAGCCAAAAGAAGAGAAAAGAUCUCAAGUUUGGGGGGAAGAAGCAAGUUUGAAUAACUGUGAUAUCUAUGGAAUACAAUCUAUUCAAAUGGCUCAAGUUGCUGAGUAACCAGAUCUGAGUAUGCACCCUAUAUGCAGACUUGUGUUCAAAGGUAGCAAGAGUUAUGAGCAAUGCUGUAGCAUUAAAAAAUAAAAUAAAAUAAAAUAAAGAAAUCCUCUGUCUAAGGCAUUGAGUAGGCAGGUCUGUUCAUGAGCCACAUGUUCAGCCUUGAAUAAAAGAUACUUCUAGAUAAGAUUACAUUACAAUUACUGCUGCAGCAACUCUAAUCUGGGCAUGGUUUGAGUAGUUGGGUGUCAUCAUUACAAUUGAUUGACAUUCACAUGAAAGAUAAAUAUUAGAGUGAGGAGGUUAAAUAUUCCCUAGUUUGUCAUUCUUAAAAUAAUCAUAGUUGAGUAUGUGAAAGUUAUGAUUACCCCAUUUCUGAAUGAAGUAUUCUCAUUGCUGAAAUUCAUGCAAUCCCUUGGUGAUGCUAUAACAUAUCUAGAAUUCAACCGAAAGAGCACACACACACUAUGGAUAGAAAGAAGCUUAAGUCUAGGACUAAUUUACUAUGGUCAUCUUGCAUGAUUGAGAAUAUGAUCUGAAGGUGGAAGAAUCCUUGCAAAGUUGAUAAAAGAGCUAAAUUUGUGUGAAUGAUUUCUUUUGUGUGAAGUGUUAGUAUGUGUCAUUACUUGAGGACAAGUAAUAGUUUAAGUUUAGGAGUGUGAUAACUCUAGGAAAUGAGAGUUAUUACAUCAAUUCUAGACUUAAAUCAAGAUCAUUUAGAGAGCAAAUAAGGUGUUUUUACUACAUUUUGGUUACAUGUUGCAUAAACAUUCAUUUUAGUUGGGUUUUAAUAAGUUUUGUUUAAAUCAAGUAAUUUGUGCUAAAAAAAUGUGCAUAAUUGUAGGUUUUAAAUUCAUAAGGGAAUGCUGAGACAUUAGAUGAGCAAGAGGAGGAAAGAAGAUGGCCACAAAAGAAGACAAGCACAAUUGGGAAUAAUGCAGUGCUGUUGUGGAUGCUAGAGCAACCAGUCCUGCAGCAAUCAGAGAGCAAUGCGGGAGAAAACUUAAAGCGUAGGUCAGCCAUAAAAUCGCGAUAUGCAUGUUUCCUAAUUUAAACGCAUGCACACGCAUGGACUUUGGGUCUUUUACCCUAAUUUGCAAUAUAAAAGGAUACGUGCACCUAAUAGAAAGGCGGCAAGGAAUUAUUAUCAAACAUAAUUACAAAGGCAAGAAGAAGGAGAUCAAGAUUUAGGAGUGCUAUUCGGAAACAAAGAAAAGAACCGUGUAGACUUAUUUUGUCUUUCGUCGUGCUCAACUUAUAUUUUCUCUUCUUCCUUGAAUUGUUUGGAUGUAUUCCGAGAUCAAUAUAUUUGUAUUUAUUUUUCUCAUCCAGAUUAUGAACUAAAUUUACUUGUGGUUGAGUGACAAAUAAUCCAAUGGGUUCUUGACUAUUCUUUUAUGUUGUUAUGGUAAUGUUGUAGCAUUAUACUCUAGUAGUUUUUAUGAAUACAACUGUUAUUUCGGUUGACCAUUCAUUUAAUAGUUUCAGUUAAGAUAGAGCAGCAAAAUGGCAUGUCUUAGCGGUCAUUAUUAGAGUAUUACUUAUUCUUAAGUCGAGUUUCCUGGAUUAGGUUACCUUGAAUUCCAUAAGGGCAAUACUUGAAGUUAAGAUUUGCGACACUCUAGACAUAGGUGUUCACCUUGUAGGGUGGAGAGAUUAAAGGUUAUAAUGUCGUACUAUAAAUAUAUGAGCAACUGGUCAUUGUUAGUAGAUUUAAAGGUAAGAGAUUUCCAACAUGCGAUAGCUGCAGAUGCAAAUUUAUUCUACCCAUUGCUGCAGCACUUAUUGUAACAACUGGUGCUAAUUUGGUAAACAACAGUCACCCCAUUAGGAGAGUUUGAUCAUUCAACUACUAUAUUCUCAAUUGAAUUUUAGACACAUUUAACUUAGUUUAUUUCAUUACAGUAUUGUUUUAUUUCUAUCUCUCACAAUUAUUAGUUACGAUAGAAUUAUUUGACAAUUGUUUGUUUUGGUCUUUAGUUGAUUUGCACUAUUAUGAUUGCUUUAGCAUUUUGAGUAAUAUCAAUCCUUGUGGAGACGAUCUUGAAUACUCAUCACUUUAUUACUUAUUGUGUAUACUUGCACAUUGGUAUUGAUAAUAAUUGAUUAUAGAAAUCAAUCAACAGUAUGCAACGUUGAUCUCUGUGACAUACUCUGAGUGCCACGUUGGCGGUCGUCUCUCAUGAGUUGACCGACGAACUUCUGGAGCCUCGGACUCGACUGGUUCUUGUUCUUCGUGCUCUGGUGCUGGUUCAGAAGAAUCUAAAUCUUCUGGAUUAUUUUCCACAUAUACCGGUAUAGUCUCUAACUUUUCUUUUACCCCGCUAUCAUCCUCAUCUCUCCUUUGCAGUUGAUCUUCUAUAAAGAUAACAUAGCUGCUGAUGACGAUCUUGUGGGUAAUAGGGUCCUACAGACGAUACCCCUUUACUCCAUCAGCAUAUCCCAAGAAGAUACAUUUUUUAGAUUUUGGAUCUAGCUUUAUUCUUUCUUGGGCAUUGUACAUCACGUACACAGGACAUCCAAAUACAUAUAGGUAGGAAUAAUCGGCUGGCUUUCCAGUCCACAUCUUCAUCGUCGUCUUCAACCCAAUAGCUGUAGAUGGCGACCGAUUUACUAUAUAACAGGCAGUUUUGGCUGCUUCUGCCCAGAAUGAAUUGGGUAGACCAGCAGUUCUCAACAUAGCUCUUAUCCGUUCUGUAAGAGUUCUAUUCAUCUGCUCUGCCACUCGAUUUUGUUGAGAAGUGUAUGCCACCGUGAACUGCCUCUGAAUACCUUCUUGCUUACAGAAAGUAAGAAAAUCACCGUCUGUAUACUCUCCACCAUUAUUUAUCCUCAAGCACUUGAUCUUUUCACCAGAUUCAAGUUCCACCCGUGCUUUGUAUUCUUUAAACACUGGAAAUAUAUCUGACUUUUUCUUAAUUGGAUACACCCAAUAUCUUCUGGAAUAAUCAUCAAUGAAAGUCACCAUGUACUUUGCACCUCCCAUUGAUAUAUCCGGUAAUUCUUAAACAUCAGAAUGAAUCAAGUCUAGAAUGCAUUUACUUCUAGUAAUAGAUCUAUUGAAUUUUAAUUUGUACUGCUUACUUGUAAUACAAUGCUCGCAAAAUGGUAAACUUACCGAUUUGAGCCCUGAAAGUAAUUUUCGCUCAGAGAGAAUCUUCAAACCUUGUUCUGACAUGUGGCCAAGUUUGAGAUGCCACAUCAUCGUUGACUCGUCUCCAUUUGAUGCGACACACGCAUCAAUCUCUUGUAGUAUUUCUCCUUUAAGCAUGAAUAGAUUAGCACCGAUCUUUUCUGUCUUCAUCAAUACAAGCACUCCUUUAACAAUCUUCAUAAUUCCAUUUUUCACAUGAGUUUUGUACCCAUGACUAUCCAUUUGUCCCAAAGAUAAUAGAUUUUUCUUCAGGCCGUUGACUUGUCUUACCUCCCCAAUUGUGCGAAUUGUCCCAUCAAAUAUUUUUAUUUUGAUAGUACCAAUACCAGCGAUCCCCAAGGCAUGAUCAUUACCCAUAUAUAUAGAUCCUCCUGAGAUAGGUGCAUAUGUGUGGAACCAUUCUCUCCGAGAGGUCACAUGCCAGGUAGUUCCUGAGUCUAUAAGUCAGACAUCAGACAGUCGUUUUCUGUCUUCUGAAACAGUUGUUGCCUCGCUGUAAAGAAUUUCGCCAUCAUCCGAGGUACUUGCUACACAACCUUGAGCAUUUGAUGACUCAAGUUCUUUGCCCUCUCUUCUCUUCUGGUUACUCCAACACUUUUUCUUGACGUGCCCUUUCUUGCCACAGUUGUAGCAUUUAACAUUCUUCUUACUUCUGGAAUUUUGAUCUACCAUGAUUGUGACUCCCACUGGGGCCACGUUCUAUUGAUCUCCCUCUCGUCACCGAUAGCGCCUCCGCUUGCUGCGAACUUGCUUGUCUGUUUUCCUUAUUUUUCUGUCUGCUCUCCUCAUUUAAUAUGGAGGCUGCAACAUCAUCGAAAACUAGACUGUCCACUGGAUUGUUGUUCAUCAGGUUGAUGAUGAGUUGAUCAUAUGAAUCUGGUAGACUUUGAAGUAGAAGCUCGGCACGUUCAUUCUCCUCUAUAUUAUGACCCAACGUUGUGAGUUGUGAAAAUAGAGUCUUCAAGGUGUUGAUGUGAUCGGUCACUAUUGUAGAUUCCGCCAUUCGAAGAGUAUAGAGUUUCCUCUUCAAGAAGAUUUUGUUGUGUAGUGACUUGGCCUCGUACAAUUUUGAGAGAGUAUCCCCUAUUUCAUUCGUUGUAUUUUUCUCUGCCACACUGGAUAAUACUCCAUCAGCAAGUGCCAAGUGUAGAUCAAAAAUGGCGUUGCCAUCUAUCUCGUUCCACUUGUCAUCAGUUAUCUCCAUGGGCGUUUCUCCAAUUGCUGCUAAGCAAUUAUUUUUUCUCAAUACAGCUUUCAUCUUCAUUUUCCACAACAAAAAAUUGUUUCCGUUAAAUUUCUCAAUUUCAUACUUUGCCGCCAUUUUGUUAAUAAAUACCGCACACAAGCUAGUGCACCACCUUGAAUAAUUGUAAGUGUGUGUGAGAAUGCACACCGGGGAAGUUCCCAGGAAAGACUGAAGGGGUCACAAUGGUCCCACUUAAAACCCAGACUCCUUAAGCUCUUAUCACCUUUAUGAUAGAACUUUCCUAGACAUGUACAAAACCACAGUUGUUUUACUUACACCACUAUUCCCUGCUUUGGACCGUAAAAUUCUUGGAUCGCUCUCACCGUUUCACGUGAAUAAUACUGUAUACGUGAACAGUACCGUAUAUGUGAAUAGUACCCUUAUGUGAAUAGUAUCCGACUCCAAAAAUACAACCAAUAGCUCUAAUACCACUGUUAAGAAAUUGGUGGGUGAAGCAGACACGCAGCUAAAAUGAAAUUGGAAGAAAAAUAAAGAACAAGCACAAAAAAGGACACCAGAAAUUACGUGGUUCGGCUUUUAGCCUAUGUCCACGGGCGAAAACAAAAGAAAAAUAUUAUACUAGUGAAAAGGAGUUACAAGUAUUGUAGUAUUUUGGCUCACUACCCAAAACCUCAAUACACCUAAACUCUCAAAUCACUAAACACACAAAACUCUCUGCUCUGCAAGAAUUACUUCUCACAACUCUCGACUCUCUCUACAAAAUUGGAUGCAAGCUUUUAAAUUAAGAGCUUGUCUUUAUAGACAAACCUUUGCCAAGAAAGUAAAAAAGAUGGCUUUGAUUUUCAAGCAAUAUAGCUGCAAAUUUCAAGUUUUCAAACUUUGAAAUUUUGAGCUUUGAAUUUUUCUUUUUCUUUUUCAAACAUCUGAUGCCAACCAUUUUGCUUCUUCAAACCUUCUAGAUGCAGCUUCUAGAUGCUGCAGCCAAAUCUUUUGACAGAAAAGAUUAAGACAAGAUGUUCUUAUAAGAUGGAAUUCAACUUUUCUUAUAAUUGAUAGUGUUAUGUAUAACAAAAAUGCUUGCUGUCAUUGACAAUUGAGUGAUUCUAAUUAUAAGAGUUAUCUUCCGAAGAAGACUAGAGAAAAAUGAAAACUGGCAAAUUCUUGUCUAUGUUUUAUGAGAUCAUAUGCAUUUUUUCCAGGUCAAAAUACCCCAGUUCAAGUUUGUAUUUUCCUAAAGUGUUUGCAUGUAAUGUUGUUUUGGAUAAAUUAUUGCAUAGUUAAGAUGUAUAUAUGAAAAUUAUGGCAUACAAAAUUAUCGAAAAGUUUGAGAAGUAUUGGUUUGAUUUUUGUACCAUUUUGGCAAUUGUGGUCAUCUUGCAUCCUCGAUACAGGAUGGCAUUCAUUAAGUUUGCCUACGACAAUGCUUAUGAUCAAAAUUCAAAGCAGUUAGAACAUGUUCAUGAUAAGUUGUUUUCAUUUUUUAGUGAGUAAAAUUUUAUCACACUAUCUUUCUCCACCACAUUCAUACUCAUUCAAAUGAGUGAUAUUGGUUAAGUGUGGAACAUAAUGACAAUAGUCAGAAUACACUUAACCAAUGGACCAUGAAACUAUUCAAGGUACAUUUACAAUUUUCUUUUCUGUUUAUUGUAAAAAUUAUUAUUUCCUUAUUUGUACUUGUUUUGGAUUUUGACAAUUCUUAUCUCCUAAUUAUUUUGUAGGGGUUUGAUGAUCUUAAUAGCAUGGAUUGUUAUGCUUAUGUUAGAAAAUCUGAAUUAGAGUUUUAUUUGGAUGAACCAAGAAUAGAUAGAAAGAUUGAUUUAAACAUUCUAAAUUUUUUUAAAGGAAACAAAUUUUGUUAUCCUAACCUUUCUUCCAUGGCUCGUGAUAUCUUAAGCAUUCGUAUAUCCAUGUUGCAUCUUAAUCGGUUUUUAGUGCUGGCAGUCAAGUCCUUGAUCAAUUUUAAAGUUUAUUGAAAUCAAAUAUUGUCCAAGCAAUUAUUACUAUCAGAGAUUGAGAUGUUAGGAGAGAUUGGUAAGAGUUGCUAAUGAAAUUAAUUUAUUUUUCUUUUAUAAUAUUAUAUUCAAUUGUUUCUAAUUAAGAUUUAUUUUUAUAAAAUUCGGGCAUGUUUGGUACUCUUCAUUAUAUGGUAUUAAAACCCCUCAAAGUAUUAAAGGAUUAUUAUGCCAUGUUUUGUAAUUUUAGGGUGCGUUUGGCACACUGUAUUAUAUUAUGUUGUAUUGCAUUAUUUUAAUGUUGGUGUAUUAUAUUAUGUUGUAUUGCAUUAGUACUGUAUUACCAUAAUGUUGUACAAUGUUUGAUGCUACAUGUAUUGUAUUAAUUUUCAAUUAGACUAUAUUUUGUGUUAUAUUGUACUGUAAUAAUUUUUUGUAAGUAAUUUAAAUUAUAUAUUUAGAAAAUAAUAUUUAUUAGUAUUUGGAAAAAUACUAAAUACAGAAGUCUUAAAUUUUAUAAAUUUAACAAUUUUUUUAGUGUAAAUGUUAAAAAAUAUCAUAAUUUUUCAUAAAGAUCAAAGCUUAUAACCUUAAAUUUUCGGAAGUAUUACAUUUAUUUUUCAGUAUUUUCUAAAUAUAUGACUUGUGAGAUAAAGAUUGAAGCAAAUAAUUUAAUCAAAUAAUCUCUAGUAAUAUAACAACAUAAAUAAAUAGUUAAAACCUGGAAGAUUAGUUCAAAAGUCAUCUUAGGAUAAUGAAAUAAAAAUUUAUACACACCACAAGAUGAUAACAAAAUAAUAAAGUGAUAUAAUUGUUAUAACAUAUUCACUAACAAAAUGAAUUAUGCUAAAUAAUCCAAGUAAAAGUUCUAUCGUAUAAGCAAUAAUAUUUUAUAUUAUUAUUCAAAGUAAUAAUAAUAUUAAUUAUAUUAAAUUAUAAAUUUACUAAUAAAUUAAAAUGUAAAAAUAAAAAUAAAAAUAAAUAUUAUAUAAUAUAAUAUUAAAAUUCAAAUGUUAUAUUUAUUUAUUUAUUAUUUUUAUUUUUAUUAUUAUUAAGAAAAUUGAAAAAAAUAAUAAUAAGUGGCAAGCUAAUGCUACAACUGCUGCAUUAGCAUAGCCCAUUAAUACAGUGUAGCUGUAGCUGCUUUUAGCACCAAACGUGAGCUUGUUUAAAUUGAAUACAAAUAGUGUUUUUAUCCAAUAUAAUGCAGGCUACCAAACACACCCUUAAUGCAUAGUAUUGUAAUGUAGUCAAAUAUCUAAUUUUUGCGGUCAAACCCGCAUAGACUAAACCCACAGGGGAGUCGGGUUUAUGCGGAUUUGUAAAUUGUAAUUAUUUUGAGGCAAAGUUCUCCCUAUCAUUUGUGGCUCAGAUGAAACAAUCGCUAUUGCAGAGGCAUGGCAGGGCAAGAGGAAGAAGCUAAGACAGAGGCUCUCGAUGAACUUACUGAGCCACUCCUUUACCAAACCAACUCUUUCAAAUUCCUCAAAUCCUCCGCAGACAAAGCCUCCAAGAAACUCGAGAUCAUAAAAAUCGAAAUUUUUUAAAAUGUAAAAAUUCUAAAAUCUAAUUUUUUUAUAUUUAGUAUUUUCCUAAGUAUUGUACUAAUAAAUAUUAUUUUCUAAAUAUCUAAUUUAGAAUAAUCACCAAAAAAGAUUAAUACAAUACAGUGCAACACCAAACAUAAUAUAAUUAAAAAUUAAUAAGUACAAUGGAGUAUCAAACGAUGUACGAUAUUAUUAUAAUAUAAUUCUAAUGUAAUACAGUAUAAUAAAUAAUUAUGUAUUAAAAUAAUAUAAUAUAAUAUAAUACAAUACAAUACGCCAAAUGCACCCUUACUGUAGAAAAUUUUGAUGUCAUUUUGGCCCAACUUACUGAAAACAUUAUGAACAUGAGCACUAAUAGUGCUCGAUCUCAAGAGAGUGCCAAUGAUGCUCGUGACAAUGUGGGAGUGUGAAAGGAAAAGUUUUAUCUUGCUGAUUUUUCUUGCCUUUGUAGAUUUAAUUAUUAUUUCCUUAUCAAUACUACAAAAUUUGGUAUAUGAUUGAUAUUUUGAAAUUUUACAAUGACUCUUAUCAGUGUUGCAACAUGUUAAUAUCAUUCUAUUUAAUUUUUUCUUAUAGGACUCUUGUUUUCAGGUGACAAAGACAAAACAAAGAGAAUUAAAGAAAUCACCUAAGUUUAUAUUUUGAAUUUUAAUUAAUAUUAUUUGUAUUAUUAAGAAUUUGUAAUUUGGUGUUUGGAUGACUAUAUAUUUAAUCUUAGAAUAUGGUUUGGAUUAUUUAUAUUUUUGUCGAAUGUUAAAUUUGUGAUCUUUUUUAUUUUAUUUUACCUAAUUUUUAUUCAUUAAUUAUAUUUUUGUAAACAAUAGUAAACGGAUCCACAUUUGAUUCAAUUCAUUUAUUAAUUUUACUAAAUAAAUUAAACGAAUCAAACCAAAUAUUUGUUUAAUAAACAAAUCGAAUUUGAAUCCUAAAAUUUCAAUUCAUUUAAUAAGCAAAUCAAAUAUGAAUCAGUAGAAUGUUGAUCCAAUUCAUUUACAAUUUGAUUUGAAUUGGAUUCAUUUGUUCGUUUUGCCACCCCUGCACACCUAACCAAAUUAGCAUCUUCACAUAACUUUAUGUAACCUCUACUAACCUUAUGAGUUGCUGAAUUUCUAACUACAAUCUCACGUAAAGCUUUUUAACUCUUCGAGUGGGUAGUAAGUUCAAGUACAUAUUUUGUAGUAGAUUGUAUAUUUAAUUGGUUUGACAAUAAUUUAGUUUCUUCCUCACCUACAUGAAUAGAGUUUGAACUUUAGGCUUUUUAUGUCAUCCCAAAAGAUUAUACCGAUUAAGCUUAUUAGUAAUUUGGAUCCAAGUUUAUACCAUUCCGUGCGUAUUUAAAUAUUAUUUUUUUAUCUAAUAACCACCCAUCACAAUAAUACAUAUAAAAAGUCAUCACAAAUAUCAGAACUGAAUCCACUGUGCACCCGCUGCACAAAUUGAAUUAGAAUGUUGUGAUUUAUGUUUUCCUCACACUCGUCCUGAAUAUUUUGUUUCACACGUAAGAAAAAUCAUCUUCUUUAUUACAAAAUGGAGCCCUAAACAAUUCCUCAUUGCAUUGGCUUCAGGGCAAAAGAGCCGGCCUUGCCAUGCAGAGAUACUUCAGUUAAUGCAGUAGUGUAGAUACAAUUAUUUACAAUAGGGUUGUUUUCACUGAAAUUCUAGAUUAGUUUACAAGGAAGAAAAUAAAAGGAAAAGACAGAACAUGCGAACAAUUUAUCAACAUCAAGCUACUUACGUACUGAACUGCCCAAAUGAAAAAAAAAAUUUUUAAAAAUGUAGGAAAGAGAGAAUGUACAGACACAUAAAAAGAAUCUUGCACUUGAAGAAGCUGCCGCUUAUAGAUUCUAGAGAGAGAGAUUAAAACUAUUCUCUCCUUCUCUCUCUACAGACAAAGAAUUUUCUCAAAUUAAAAGGUGAAAAGCAAAACACAUUACUCUGUUUUUGAGUCUCUCUCUCUCUCUCUUUCCAUCGUUUUUUUUUCCUGUGAUUUUGUUUUAACAUGAUUUGUUUAAUUACUUGGUUUUUAAGGGGUUUGAAGGAAGGUAACGACAGUGAGUUCAUUGAGAAGAAAUGGAGAGCAUAAUGAAUGAAGCUGUGGAUUUGGUAUUGAAACAGAGUUUGUCAUCUCAGUUCUUGAUUGCUUUAUUACUGUUUUUUGCGUUUUGUUUUUAGUUUACCAUUAAGAAAAAGACACCGACGCUCCUGUGGCCUGGCAAUAGAUGGCCGCGGUGAUCUUUUUAUUUUGAAAAAUCGUCACACAGACUCAUGGAUCUCUUUUAUGACAAUUAUAUUUUUUUUAUUAUAAUAACCAGACUAAAUUUUAUCUGAAAAAAGUUGUCUAAAAAGUUAUCUAUGUGACAAUUUCCAAAAAUAAGAGUAUGUCUAUGACUAUUUCAUCAAAUCAUGAGGGUGUCGUCGUUUUCUUCAGUGUUAUAAAGUGUUUUUGUUUUGUGAGGAAGUUCAGGUUUUUGGUCUGCAGGAAAAGGUGCCGAUGGAAGAGGUUUUUGAGUCUUUGAAGUGCCGUCAAGGGGGCCUUUCGACGGAGGCUGCUGAGCAGAGACUUUCCAUAUUCGGCUACAACAAGCUUGAGGAGAAACGGGUAAUUUUUACUUUUAUCAUUCUUUUCCUUGUUAGCUUUCCUAUUGGAAAGUUCUAUUAAUGAAAAAAGAUACUUUUUUAAUCAUUGUAAGAUAUUAUUUUUUUGCAGAUUGUAAUUUUUUUUUUUUUUUUUUGGGUGGGUCUUCCAGGAAAGUAAAAUUUUGAAGUUUUUGGGAUUUAUGUGGAACCCUCUCUCAUGGGUCAUGGAAGCUGCAGCUGUCAUGGCAAUCGUACUGGCAAAUGGAGGAGUGAGUAUUGAGUACUGUUUUUCAAAUUACAUUUUUAUAAUUUGUUUUAGAAAAAAAAAAUGGUGUUUUCUACUUGAUGUUUUUGGAAAUGAAAAUAUGUUUAUUAACUCAUUUUGUAAGCAACAUCAAAAAUGAAAUUUUGACCAGAUAACACUGGGGUGAAGUGGGUCACGUGGCUCAAUUGGGUUUUUACGAAAUUUUUCAAUAUAAAUUUUUGAAACAGACUUGGGGGUCUUAAGAAUUUUCGAAAUUGCUUCGCAGAAUUUUUUUUUUCUUUUGAAAUUACCUCAUGUCAAAUUCACCUUCUUAUAGGAUAUAGGAUGUCCUUGCCUUGCCGUGCCGCGAUUAGGGGUGGUAAAAAUACCCGUUCGGUCUAAACACGAACUGCACUUAGGUGAUGUGGCUGGGUAUUCAUGAAGAUGAGCCGAUUUUGGGCAUCAUUUGAUAAAUCCAUGACUCGGGACAAAAUCUGAAUUUUAUUAAUAAAAUAUUAUAAAAUAUAUAAAUAUUUAUAUUUAUUUUACUCAUCUAUUACGCAUAUGUAAAGUUUUAAACACUUAAAGUUUAUAUUUUCAUGUCAAAUUUUAUUAAAAUAAAUUUAAACUUAUAAAAUUACAAAAAAAUAAAAAUAUAUAAUAUAUAAUAUUAAAAAAUAUAAAAUCCAUAUUAAAAACCUAGACUAGGUGGUCUGGAUGUCUAAAAAUUCAUCCAGGCCAGAUCUGGACAUUGCGAUACUCGGGCCCAAAACCAACCCUAGCGGCGACUAACAAUUUUCAACGCAUAUUCAUUUAGGGGUAUCAAAACGAAUUUUGCUCUAUUUCUAAGCAAAUUUUAUUAAAAUUUGAUGGAUUUAAAUUAGACCAUUUAUUAGAUUUGGAGUUAGAUUCAUUUAAUAAAUAAAUAUUGAUUUAAUAUAAUUAGCGGUCAAGUUGAACUCUUUUAAAUUUAUUUACCUACAAUUGAUCCUCAAAUAAAAAUUAAUAAACAAAAAAAUUAAGCGAAAAAAAUUAUCAAAAAUUUCAUUUGAUUCAUCUCAUACUUUUCUUUUUGUCUUAUUCCCAGUUCGUUACGAAACAAACCUUUCAACUUAAUAAUUUUAUUUUUAAAAAAUUUAAUAAAUGUAGCUAAGUAAUUUAAUUAAAUAAAUCUUAAAUGAAUAAAUGAGUUAGAGAUAUAAAAUUUAGAUUAGAUGGAAAUAGCUUAUUUACCAAAACAAAUCGAAUUCGACCGGUUAUGAAAUGAAUAAAUUUUUCCAAAUAUAAAUAAACGGAUCCCGACCCAUAUUCUAAAUAAGGAAUUUAAAGAAGCAUAAAUAGCAAAAUGGAAAUAUAUUUCAACAAGGAAUUUAGGCUUCAUUAAAUUUAAUCUUACUGUUGGGAAUUUCAUUGUUGCAGGGUAAACCUCCUGAAUGGCAAGAUUUUAUUGGGAUAACAACCCUGCUUCUUACCAAUUCAACAGUCUGUUACGUUUUAGAAAACAAUGCAGGUGCUGCCAGCGCAGCUCUCAUGGCUCAUCUUGCUCCCCAAGCUAAGGUACUGACUGCACUUGAAUAGUUGUCAGGUUAAGAUUAGUGCAUAUGCAUAUCUAAUAAGUUUAUUAUGAACUUCAUGUCAACUUAACUCAAUGAGAAUUGGAAUCAGAAACUGUUAUGUCAUAUUAAUUUGUAAAAUAAUACUUUGUAAGAAGAGUUUGUGGCUCUAGGCUCUAUUAUUUCUGUAAUUGGAGAUAUUAUUUCAGGUCCUUCGAGAUGGAAAGUGGAAGGAGGAAGAUGCAGCCAUUCUUGUUCCUGGUGAUGUCAUUAGUGUUAAGCUUGGUGACAUUGUUCCUGCUGAUGCUCGUCUCCUCGAAGGUGAUCCAUUGACAAUUGAUCAGGUGAGCUUUUGCAAUCUUUGUAUGCUUGAAUUGAUUUGGUAAAGUUGGUCUAUUUAAUUUAAAUUCUUUCAAUUUGUACGUUGCAGUCUGCUCUCACAGGCGAGUCUAUUCCUGUAAGUAAGGGCCCUGGUGACUGUGUACAUUCAGGCUCUACGUGCAAACAAGGGGAGAUUCAAGCUGUGGUCAUUGCCACUGGUGUUCAUACCUUCCUUGGCAGGGCUGUACACCUUGUGGAUACCACAAAUCAUGUGGGUCACUUUCAAAAGGCAAGAAAAUGUGAAUUCACAUUCCUUAAGACUUGUUUUUAUUUUCAAUCUCACAUUAUCAUUCACCGAAACUCUUGCUCUCGGGCUUGUUUACAGAUCUUGACUGCAGUUGGAAAAUACUGCAUAUGUUCAAUUGCACUGGGGUUAAUAUUAGAGAUCAUUGUCAUGUACGCGGUUCAACACAGGGAAUACCGCACAGGACUUGAUAAUUUACUUGUGCUUCUUAUUGGAGGAAUUCCUAUCGCCAUGCCUACUGUUUUAUCAGUGACAAUGGCAAUUGGUUCCAAACGAUUGUCUCGGCAGGUUGGUCUUAGUUGUUAUUUAUAAUGAUGUUACUUUUAGUGGUCAUUAGUUGAUAGUUGCAAGCAUAUAUGGUCUAAUUACUGCAGGGUGUUAUCACAAAGAGAAUCAGUGCGAUAGUCGAUAUGGCAGGCAUGGAUGUGCUUUGCUGUGACAAAACUGGAACUCUAACUUUGAACAAAUUAACAGUUGACAAGAAUCUAAUUGAGGUUGGUGUAAAUUUUGCUCACUUUUAGAAUUGCAAUUUGUAUUUCAACAUUUGGCCUGGAUCAUUGUUCAGAUCUUUGCUAAAGGAGUGGAUGCAGACACUGUUGUUCUGAUGGCAGCUCGAGCCUCCCAAGUGGAAAACCUAGAUGUAAUAGAUGCUGCUAUAGUAGGAAUGUUGGCUGAUCCAAAGAAGGUAUAUUUAUGAAUUCUAGAAUUUCAUGUAUGUAUUUUACUCUAGCUAAGCUUAACUGUUGUUGAAAUUUUGUAUUCUCAAAGGCAACUUGUAGAAGAUUUUCUUAUUUUUUCGUCUUAUCAUUUUGUUGACACUGAUUUCUUUGCUUUUGACCAUAAACAAGGCAAGGGCUGAUAUCCAAGAAGUUCACUUCCUUCCAUUUGACCCCACAGGUAAACGAACAGCUCUGACAUAUAUCGACAGUGAAGGUAAAAUGCAUAGGGUCACCAAAGGUGCUCCAGAGCAGGUAUGAUUGUCAACAACUAAUAGUAUGUUCUAGGAUUCUGAAAUGCCAUUUGAUAUAAUUUAUGCUUUUAUUUUGACUUUCAGAUUUUAAAUCUUGUACACAACAAAUCAGAGAUAGGACGCAGAAUCAAUGCUGUGAUUGAUAAGUUUGCAGAACGAGGAUUACGGUCUCUUGCAGUGGCAUAUCAGGUAUAUGAGUUACCUAAGUCAUUGUUCUAGGUCGUAUCUUCACAUCACUAUAGCGGUGCAUUACUUCAAUUGCAAUUUGUAUUAACAAAGUCUAUAUUUAUUAAUUUGGUUUCAGGAAGUUCCUGAUGGAUCAAAAGAGAGCUCAGGAAGCCCAUGGCAAUUUAUUGGACUCAUUCCUUUGUUUGAUCCUCCUAGGCAUGAUAGUGCAGAAACAAUAAGAAGGGCACUGAGUCUUGGGUUGAGCGUGAAAAUGAUCACAGGUGCUUCUCCCAUUUAUUGUAUUAUGUGUUCCUAGUUGAGCGUGAAAAUGACUACAGGUGCUUCUCCCAUUUACUGUAUUAUGUCUUCCUAAUUUGUAAUCUUAAUAUUUAGUCUUUGUUUAGGCACCAUUUAUAUCUAGAGAAAUUUUGUUGUUUCUGGUUUUGUUUAAUCGUUCUAUCUGCAAAAAUGCUUAUAUGUCAGUUUUCUUUUGCAUUCCUGGUGGAAUUUAAAUACUCUUAUGGUUUUACCUUUUCAGAAUGUUUUAAUUGGCGUUUUCAUGGAUAUUCAAUCUGUUUGACUUUUCCUCUUUCUCAGGUGAUCAACUUGCAAUAGCAAAAGAAACAGGACGUCGUCUUGGAAUGGGAACCAACAUGUAUCCUUCAUCAGCCUUAUUAGGGCAGGACAGGGAUGAGUCGAUAGUUGCUUUACCGGUGGACGAGUUGAUUGAGAAAGCUGAUGGGUUUGCUGGUGUUUUCCCUGGUACGAAGCUUGAUCUCCUAAUUUGCAUUAAGUAGUCGAUCACAUACUGAAGUUAGUGUUGUAUAGCUUUUAUUGAACUUGAUGUAUGGAUGACUACAUCCUACAACCUUUUCAUUAUAUUUUAAUCAUAGCAUAUUUCUAUUUUUUACCCUUGUUUACACGGCUGUCCUUAUUUUCUUUAUAGAGCACAAAUAUGAGAUUGUGAAGCAUUUGCAAACUAGGAACCAUAUCUGUGGAAUGAUUGGUAACGGUGUCAAUGAUGCUCCCGCUCUAAAGAAAGCAGACAUUGGCAUAGCUGUUGCUGAUGCAACUGAUGCAGCUCGUAGUGCUGCCGACAUUGUCCUGACAGAACCUGGCCUUAAUGUUAUCAUUACUGCCGUUCUAAAUAGUCGCGCAAUAUUCCAGAGGAUGAGAAAUUACACGGUGAGGAUUUGUUUCAAUUCUAAGGAAAAGGUGUUCUAUAGUCGAUAGUGUAGAGAUGGAUGGGAUUUGUGUGAGGGAAUUCACAACCCAUCUAAUUCUAUCUAUUCCACAUUCCUUAACCUACAAACAAACUAAUAAUUUAAAGCUUGCAUUUUACCCUGCUUGAGUGCCUGGUGGUCAAGAAAGCACUGAGACUGAAAUAACAUGUCACUGUUCUGUAAACUACUUUUAGAGCCUGAGGUAAAAUAAUAAUAAAUAAUAUAAUAAACCAAGACGUUGGCGGUGGUGCUGUUCAUGAAAACUUGAUUUUUGUGGGCACUGGUAACUUCUUUACACUGUCUCAGACUUUUGCAAAAUUGAAACAAGAACACGAGCAUUGUUUACUUGAAUUAGUUGAUUCCUUCUUGCUCUGUCCUCACUUUUUUGAUGCUUAAUUAAUUUCUUUCUUGUCGCAGAUAUAUGCAGUCUCCAUUACCAUCCAUAUUGGAGUAAGUUGUUUGCUGCUUGUUUCAAAUACUAUGUAGGAGAUUAUGGUGUAAUUUAUUUGGUAUUUGCAACUUUGAUCUUCUAUAGUAAUUAUUGCCCUACUGAUGAAUAUGAAAGAGUCUUCACAAAAGUAGCUUGAAUAUCUCAGCUUGACGUCUUACCUGUUUCUCUUGGUGACAGUUUGGUUUCAGGCUGCUAGCUCUUAUCUGGCAGUUUAACUUUCCACCCUUCAUGGUGCUGAUAAUUGCUAUUCUCAAUGAUGGUUUGUAUUUCCUUGACUCAGCAUGUAUAUCGUAACUGUUUGUAUUCUUUUUCAUCCAGGUGCAUCGAUUUCAAAUAAGAAAUAUACUUGUCUAUUGAUAUUUAUCCGGUACAUUGAUUGCCAGGUGCUAUUAUUAUUACAAUAUCAAAAGAUAGAGUCAGACCAUCUCCUCAUCCAGAAAGGUGGAAUUUGACCGAGGUCUUUGUAACUGGAAGCAUUCUUGGUGGUUACUUGGCAAUGAUGACUGUGAUUUUCUUUUGGACAGCAUACCGAACAGACUUCUUUCCAGUAAUGUGAUUUAUCUUUUGUGUUAUCAUGUCACCCAAUUUGGGUGUUAUGUAUGCCCGUUUUCCUUGAUUUAAUAAUAUAGAGAAUAAUAUUUGCCUUUACAUUGUCUUCAAUAAUUUGGACUGAAACUCAGUAUGCAACAUUCAGCGUACAUUUGGCAUUUCAAGUCUUAACAAAAAGGAUGUGGACGACUGGAGAAAACUUGCCUCGGCAGUAUACCUGCAAGUGAGUUCCAUUAGUCAGGCCCACCUAUUCGUGACACGUGCAAGGAGUUGGUCUUACGUCGAGUGUCCUGUCCUGUUUCUUGCUCUGGCUUUCUUUGUUGCUCAGCUGGUGAGUGAUAAAUGCUGUUUCCUUUUGGCCUUUCUUACAUAUAGUGGAUGAGUUGAUCCUUUUUAAUUCUUUGAGCAGACUGCUACACUGAUUGCCGUCUAUGCAACCUGGAGCUUUGCUACAAUUGAAGGAAUAGGAUGGGGUUGGGCUGGUGUGAUUUGGCUUUAUAAUAUCAUCUUCUACAUUCCGCUUGAUUUUAUAAAGUUCUUCAUCCGAUAUGUGCUUAGCAGGAAUUUUUGGGAUCUUGUCUUUGAACAAAGGGUAUUGAUGGCUUGAGUUCAACAUAUUUUAUUCAAGAACUGGAGCUUAAUUUCUUGCUCACUCUCCAUAGUGUAAUUGCUAUUUUGCAGAUUGCCUUCACAACUAAAAGAGAUUUCGGAAAAGAAGAACGUGAGCGUCUAUGGGCACAGGCACAGAGAACCCUCCAUGGGUUGCACCCACAUGACUCCAAUAUGUUCAGUGUACGAAGCAGUUACGGACAACUUAGCCGGAUGGCUGAAGAAGCAAGAAGAAGAGCUGAGAUUGCUAGGUAAAACAUAUAAAUAUAACGCUAACAAACUACAUUACUUACUUAAUUUCUACUCUUAAAAGCUGAAAUUUAAUGCUCGGAGUGUACACUCUUAUGCAUUCAAUAUUUUGAUUUUUUUCAGAUUGAGAGAACUGCAUACACUGAAAGGGCACGUCGAAUCACUGAUUAGGCUUAAAGGACUGGAUAUCGACCCAAUUCAGCAAUCCUACUCCGUCUGAUACAGAUCAUAUGCGACACAUUCGUGGACGUGGAACAUAUGCGGAGAUUGCAGAUAUAAGCACCUUAGUCCACAAGUAAUUAUGCAAUUCAUCCUGAAUGAGUUAUAGUUGCAUUUCUGAAGUAUAUAUUUGCCAAUCUGGGUUGUGUUUUUUCAGUUUUACAGUUUGUGUUUGAAGAAACAAUAUGAUGGGUUUAAGUACCAUACGGCCACUACUUGUGAUAUAAACCAUAGUAAGAGAUGGGUUUAAGUACUAUGCGGCCAAUACUCAUGAUACAAACCAUAACAAGAGUAAUAUAUUUCUCCACCUCUUUAUUUAAGUUUGUAAUUUUUUUUAUAUAUAUAUCUUCGAAUAACUAGGGAGGUGGUGGAUAAGGAUAAAAUUUAGAUUGAAUUUUUAACCUCAUACCUUCUCGGAAUUGAAAUUUGGAUGACCUUUAAAUAAAAUUACUUGAAAACAAUUUAUAAAAAACUUUUUAAUUUUUGAGUUUCAUUUCUUUUUAAUAAUUUGAAAAAUGUAACCUGUAAUUUCUGAAAGUAAUCAGAAAGCUACAAUAGAAUUUGCUUGCAUUUAUCUGAUUCCUUAAAAGAUUAAGUUCAAACUUCACACCUUAAAAGAUUUUCAAACUUCACACUUUUUGUACUACUCAUAAUAAAUUUGACCAAUUAAUUAACUAUCAUAUGCAGUUCCAAACAUCAAACAUAUAUUUUUUUAUCCCCUUGAUGGCCCAUUUCUCAAAAAUUGGUAUUCUAAUCAUAACCAUCCAAUAGAAAAGAAAUGAAGGUAAAAUUGAGAAGCAUCUGAAUAGCAAGGAAACAUCAUUAACGUAAUAUAAAUCUUUACUGUUUGGGUAAAUUACCAUUUAGUCUUUAGGGUUGGACAUCAAUUCUUAGAUCAGUACUUGCAUUUCUAAAUAUAGUUCGAAAUAUUUCUAUCGUUACUUUUGUUAGUGUUUAAAAAUUUAUUUUUUAGGUUAAAAAGUUAAUUUUUUUCAUUAAUCUAAAUUUUUUUUAUUAGUUUUAAAUAUACGAAACCAACUGAGAAUUAAUGCCUGACUUUGAAGAUCGAAAGCAAGUUUAGCUCAAAUAUAUGAUUUUAAAAGUUGUGCAUCUUGUGUUGAUUUUUUGAGAAAAUUAAAGAAGAGCAGCAUUGGCGGACACUGGAAGCUGGUAAUAUAAGAAAGCCAAUGAACUUUGCAAUUUAUUAGUCGUCAAAAUACAAAUUCUUAGAACAAAAUGGAAAUUUUGGUAGUGUGUGGUGCUGUGGCUUAAAAGUCAUAAUUAUUAUGAAAAGGAAGCAGUUAGGCACGAAAUAAGAGCUGGUGGUAUUUUGUAAAUGUAACUUUUAAGUAACAAUUUUGAUAAAAAUAAUAAAAAUAAUAUGAAUUUUGAAUUAAAACACCCGAUUGAGUAAAAUCAACUCAACUUCAAAAUUAUAAGGGAAAUUAUCAGCCAUAUACCCUUAAAUGGCACUCGUAUCAAACGUGUGUGAACACUUUUCAAGUGUAUCACUCGUAUACCUUAAGUUGACAAAACACCUCUGCCGUCCACCAAUCUGUUAACUUCCGUUAGAAAGUUAACAUAAUUGUGGCAAAUUGACUAUUUUGCCUUAAAACUCAAAAUGAAGUAAAAAGAUAAAUUUACCCCAAAAAUUAACGUAAAUUUUCAAUACACAAUUUUUUUUUAUUUUGUUAUUAACAAUGCAUUUUUUUAUUAAAAAAUAAAUUAUUAAUGGUACAUAUUAUUAACAAUUAUUCAUAAAAAAUCCAUAUUAUACCAUAAAAAUUAUUAACAACAUAUUAUUUACAAUUAUACAUAUUAUACCAUAAAAAUGUCCAAUUGGAGCUUGGAGGAGAAGAUCUCCAAAAAUUUAGGUUAAAUUUUGGAAGAGUAGAUUCGGUUGUAAAGUAGUUUUUUUAGCAAUUAUUAAAAAUUAUCCGAUAAAUGGGAUGACAUGUCAUUUUUAUCAAUAUAUAUCAUAUGACAUGUCAUUUGUUACUAGAUAAAUGGGAUGACAUGUUGUUUUUUUAAAUCAAAGUUUUGUCAAUCUUAAAAGACUAGAUUACCCUUAUGAUGUUAGAGCUUGCAAACGGAAGUUAACGGAUUGGUGGACGGCAAAUGUGUUUUAUCAACUUAGGAUAUACGAGUGAUACACUUGAAAAAUGUUCACACACGUUUGAUACGGGUGUCAUUUAAGGGUAUAUGACUGAUAAUUUCCCAAAUUAUAAUUACAAGUGUUUUCAAAGCUGCUGUGGCUAGUGAAAAAGCUAAACCAUACAUACUAGGUCUUGAUAUGAAUUACCACCCAACACACUCUUUUUGAACUAACACAUAAUGAAUUAUAAAAAUUUCAUGAUACAUGAAUAAUCACGAUUUAUUUUGAUUUAGAAAUAAACUUAAAAAGGCAUUACAUAUACUGUAUGACACAAUCAUUUUCCUAUAUUAAUUAAUAAAUAAAAAAGAACCAAAAUAAAUCAAAUACAGAUCCUUAAAUGGUUAUCAUUAAACAUCUAUUCACAUAUUAAUUGCUCAUUUUCUUGAGAUUAAUAUAUAUACAACCUGUGCCUUAAAUUACUUUCCAUUGUUUUAUGCUCGCACAAUGAAAUAUUUGAGAAAUAGAUAGGGACUAACCAGGGCGGCAGCUGUCCUAAUAAAUCUUAUUUUUCUAGAAUAUUAAUUUUAAAUUUCAAGCAAAUUUUUUAUUUGCCCCAUGAUGAGCUUUAAAUAAAAUACGAUAACUAUAUUUUCAUCACAUAAAUUACUUUAAAUAAGUAGAUUAUAUACAAGAUUAAAUGCAAUUAUAUGCCUAAUUAAAGAAAAAAUUCUUUUGAGUAAAUUAAUCUUCCCCAGCAAUUCACUAAGUAUGGCUUCCCAGAUUAAAAGGAACAACUCUAAGCACCAUCAUUUUUUAGUAAAAAUAAUAAAAUAAUAUAUAGGAAAAAGAAUAACAAUACUUUCUUACUCCUCAGUUUAAGGAAAUGGCGAGAGAGAUCUCUUUGUUUUAAUAAAUAGUCACACAAAUCCAUUUUCAAGAUACACAUACUCCUUUUUUUACACAAAUUUUUUUUUGUGUUAAAAGAUAAUCACAAACUUAAAUAAAUCCUUAAGAUUUAUUCAUAUAGUCUGUAUCUACUAAAUCACGGAAGUAUGAGUAACUUAUUCCCUAAUAUCAAUAGCCCUUGUCUCGAAUAAUAAACAGAGUAGGUCAAACUAACCUCAUCAUCUUGAUCUUUUUUUUUUUCACAAGCAUAAAUUUGCAUUUUCUUUUUAUUUUUCUUGAAGCACAUGCUUUCUUUUCUUUUCAUUUUUUUUUCAUAGUCAGGAGCUUUCACUCUACCCCUUAAGGUAGCCUUCUACCAUGGUAGAUUAUUAUCUACAUACUGGUGGUACAAAGGCCCAAAUUACUCAAGGAUAGCUUCACUCUUAAGGGUUGUAGGUAGCUAUUUCUGACUAUGGUGCCUGGGUAAACUUAAGUAAUGUAGAAUCAAGGCAAACAGUCAUUUACUCAAUCUAAAAUUCUUAACUUAGGUUGUAUCAAUCUCAAAUCUCAAGUCAAAAUUCUAAAAGAAUCGAUAUAAGUGCACAAGAUAUUUAAAGAAUCACAAUCAAGACGAAACUAACAUAAGAAUCAAGUAUAAAUUAAGACAAUAUUCAUCUCUUUCUCAGAACCAUAUUCAUUUUCAACCAUAAACUCAUCAUAGGCAUUAAAAUCUUUUUUUUUAAUUUUCUUUUUUUCUUUUUAAAAUUUUUUUUUGAAAAAAAAUGAAAGCAAAUAUUCCUACCCCCAAACUUAAAAUAAACAUUGUCCUCAAUGUAAAAAAAAAAAAAGAAAAGGAAAAGAAAAACUCCCCCAGUUUUGCACUUGAAGAUGUGACCUUGCAGUUGAGUCAUUGAAAGGCAUGUGAAAAGUCAAUGUUCAUCAACUCCCAAACUUGUGCAAAAACCUAGAUAAAACAAAACAAAAUAAGUAAAAGAAAAGAUAAAAGAAAUAAGAAAAGAUAAAAAUGACAAUAAUAAAGUUUAGAAAGCUUGGGUUGCCUCCCAAGAAGUGCUUAAUUUAUAGUCAUUAGCUUGACUGUCUUUGAAGAGAUCAUUCAAGGAGGCUCGUGGAUGCAAGGAGAUGAUAUGGAUGGACCUUGCACAAGUUUCUUGCAAUUAUGCCUCUUCCCACAAAAAUGAGGAGAUGGAUCUUCAUUAAUAAACUGCUUAUGUAUUGUAUAAAUGUCAGGAGGGUCAGAUAGAUCUUUAUCCUUCAAUGAUUUGGCCAUUUUUUUAUCCAUGGUGUCUUCUUGAAAACAAUCUUUAAGUUCAGUUGGAUACUUGAUAGGUGCUUACACAUUGAAAAUGACUUGCUCAUUUUGAACUCUUAAAAUCAAUUUCCUUUCCUGAACAUCAAUCAAAGCUCUUCCUAUAGCUAAGAAUGGUCGGCCUGGAAUGAGAGGUAACUCUAUAUUUUCGGCCAUAUCUAAGAUAAUGAAAUCUGUAGGGAAUAUAAACUUGUCAACUUUCACAAGCACAUCCUUAACUAUGCCUCUUGGGUACUUUAUAGAUCUAUCUGCCAAUUAUAGGGUAACAGUUGUUGCCUUAUGUUCACCCAAACCUAAUUUCUUGAAAACAGAAAAAGGCAUCAAAUUAAUGCUUGCACCUAAAUCACACAAAGCUUUAUCAAAAUAAGAUUUUCCAAUAGUGCAUGGAAUAUUAAAACUCCAUGGAUCUUUCAGCUUUGGUGGCAAUUUAUUUUGUAAGAUAGCGGUGCAGUCCUCAGUCAGCAUUACAGUUUCAUGCUCCUCAAGUUUCCUCUUGUUGGACAACAUUUCUUUCAUAAAUUUGGCAUAAAGCGACAUUUGUUCCAAAGCAUAUGCAAAAGGAAUGUUAAUAUGCAAUUUCUUAAACACAUCAAGAAAUUUUAAAAAUUGCUUAUCUAUGUUAUUUUUCCGGAGACGCUGAGGAAAACGGAUUGGAGGAACAUAGGCCUUGACUGGUGUUGCUAGUUUAGGUUGUGGUAUUUCUGAACUUGCUGCCUUUGAAACCUUAGUGGUGUCUUCAGUUUGUUCUUCAUCAACUUUCUUCGAUUUUUUUCGCGGUUCAUCAAGUUGUUUACCACUCCGAAGUAUAAUUGCAUUAACUUGCUCCUUUAGAUUUGUCUCGGUGUUGCUUGGCAGAGAGCCAUGUUGUCUACUGGAUAACAAGUUUGCAAUCUGACCCACUUGUACCUCAAGGUUCCAAAUUGAUGCAGCUUGAUUUUGAAAAGUUGUCUCUGUUUUUGUCAUGAAUUGAGACAUGUUUGUUGUAAGCUGGGUAAGAGCAUCUUCUAGGUUUGACUUCUUUUCUUGUGGUUGGAACCCUGGAGGUGGUGCCAAUGUAUUCUGAGUGUUGUUUCAUGACAAAUUCGGGUGGUUUCUCCAGUCAAGAUUGUAGGUAUUAGAAUAUGGGUUAUGUUGUUGUCUUUGGAAAUUUGACACAUAAUGAGCUUAUUCAGCAGAUAACGACGCAAAAGGACUUUCAACUUGGCAGUUGACACUAGUAUGGUUCCCUCCGCACAAUUCACACACUUGAGUUUGAAUAGCAUUGACAUUCAGGUGCUCUAACUUAUUAGAUAAAGCAGUCAUCUGUGCAGAUAAAGCAGUGACAACAUCAAUAUUAUGGGCUCCUACAAUUUUUCUUGGCAUUGAUCGCUCUGAAGUCCACUGGUAAUUGUUGGAUGCCAUCUCCUCCAAUAAUUCAUAAGCUGCUUCUGGUGUUUUUCCCAUUAACGUUCCUCCUGCUGCAGCAUCAAUCAUUGUUCUGGUAUUGGAUCCCAAACCAUUAUAAAAUGUUGGUACCUGAAGCCAAACUGGUAGACCAUGAUGUGGGCAUUUUCUUAGUAGGUCUUUGUAUCUUUCCCACACUUCAUAUAAUGAUUCCAUCUCGAACUGAGCAAAGGCUGUGAUGUCAUUUCUCAACUUGGCUGUUUUUGCUAGAGGAAAGUAUUUUGCUAAAAACUUCUGUGCUAAGCCAUCCCAUGUAGUGAUUGUUCCAGCAAAGAGUGAGUUCAACCACUCUUUUGCUUUAUCCCUCAGUGAGAACGGAAAAAGCCUUAACCUGAUAGUAUUGUCUGAAACACCAUUUUGCUUAAAUAUGUCACAAAUUUCCAAGAAAUUUACAAUAUGAGCAUUUGGAUCAUCAUUUGGCAUCUUAGCAAACUGUACUGACGCCUGAAUCAUCUGGAUUAUGGCUGGCUUAAUUUCAAAAUUAUUGGCUUGAACGGUAGGGCGUGCAAUGCUUGAACGAGCUCCAUUAACUGUAGGCACAACAUAAUCUCUUAAAGAUCUCGCAUCCUCAUUUCCGUGUAAUGGUUCGUCAGCCAUGAUUAGUUGUUACUCCUGUAAAGCUUCUCUCCUUUCUCUAUUGAGCCUUCUACAAGUGCGUUCAAUCUCUGGAUCAAAAGACAAUAAAUCAAAACUUCUUGAACGUCUCAUAAAAUUCGACAAGAAAAUGAAAAUUAAAAUAAAAACAAUAAAAAUAAAAUUCAAAUUAAACUAAGGUUAGUUGGUAUCGAUACUAAUCCAAACAAUCCUCGGCAACGACGCCAAAAACUUGAUGCGUAAAUUAGCAAGUGUACUAGUCGACACAAGUAAUAUAAUGAAGAGUAGAGUAUCGUCCCACAAAGAUUGUAUAUCCUAUUAGUUACCGAAAUUAUUCUAACCCUAAUUUAUUUGAACAAUCGAAUAAGCGAAUUUAGAUUAAAAUAAAAUAAAAUAAAAUAAUUAAAAAUUAAAUAAAGACACAGGUAGUAAUAGAAAUCACCAAGAGAUUAAGAUAUUAGGACAUCCGAUUUCACCAUAACCAAUGCAAUUUAAUCCUCCAUUUAUGCUAUUAAAAUUUACUACCCAUAUUGACAGUGAAUUUCCCUAAUCCAUUCAAUAUCCUCUCUCGAGUAAUAUUAAAAAUACCUUCACACAUUAACCCACUAUAUCUCUAAGUGAAUUUAAAUAUGCAAAGAUUCAUUAAGCUCCAUGGAAAUUCUUAGAAAAACUGCACGAAUCACGUUGGCACAUCUCUGUCUUUCGUUCAAUUCAUGGCAUCCAUUACACAGAACUAAAAUACAUAAAUCUCCUCUCCGUCUCAUUAUAUAUUCUCAAAUCAUUCAAAUAUUGGCCAGAUAUUUAAAAGCAUUAAGCACAAUAAUGAACACUCAACCAUGGAAUAAUAAAUUAAAAAUAACAUAAAUUUAUGGAAUUAAAUCUUCAUAGUUAGGCUACAUCGUAGCCCUAGUAAAUAAAUUAGUUCAUGAGAAUAUAAAGAGAAUCUAUUAAUUUAAUUGGAAACAUUCAAGCAAGAUAAUAGAGAAGAGGGAAAGAAAAACUCAAGAAGUUAUCUCUCUUUAAUUUCUGCAAUUGACUCCUCCAAAUUGUUGCUCCCGGAUUUACAGCGGCUUCUCUUGUUCUUUUCUUGCUCCCAGUUUUUCUAUAUUUUUGCCAAUUGUGCAGCUGCCCCCUUCACUUUUCUUUUUAUAUUGUUGCGCCACUUCCAAAUCCUUAAAUGAAAAGGAUUUCAAAACAAAACAAAUCCAGCCCACUUUUAAGCCCAUGCACGUUUUACUUGCCAUUUGAAUUGCCAAUUAGUUCUAUAAUGCUCCCCACGUGCAUGCAUGCUUAAAAUUGGUUAAUUAAAUCUUCAUUGAUUUAUAAUUUUUAUUUCUUUCCCUUUUUUCUUCCACAAUCCGCAAUUAUUUCCAUUAAGCUCCAAUUUGUUUCCCCUUUUUGCUUUCUUUCACUUAAAUAUUCCCAAUAUUCCUACAAUGACAAAAUAUAAAAUUAAGAUAAAAAUUAAGAUAAUAAAAUAUAAUUUAACAUAAAAUUAAGUUAUGAAAGCAUUAAAAAUAAUAGAUAAAUUAUGAGCACAUCACAUGCUAUCCAUGAAUCAUGAUAGAUUAGUGCAUGGAUAAAUAUAGGUCAUCUAAAGUGAUUUGGUAAUUUUUUGGUUAAUUUUGUUAAACUAGUGGUCAAGAAGUGUAGAAUAUGACAACUAUUCAAAAUUAUUAAAAAAAGAAAGAAAGAAAGAAUUUUCAGCCAAUUUCAUACACUUCUCAAUCACAUUGGGUCUAGAAUUCGAGCAAAGCGAGAGUGGUAAUAUCCUAUAUGAAUUUGUCAAGUUCGGAUUGACAAAAAUUGACUGAAUUAAUAACACUUUCGUUGAUAAAUGAUAGAAUUUAUAAAAAAGAAUGUUUAAUUUUUGUGAAAUGCUAACUCCACACACACUAUGGUUGCCUUGGCUGAGAAAAUAUUAUCAUUAUUGUGUGAAUGGGAUAUUGAGAAAAAAAGAUUUUUUUUUCAAUAACUCUAAACAAGUAAUGAUAUUUGUGUUGCAAUGUUAAAAAGUCAACUGCAAUUAAAAAAUGCUUUGAUGUGUGAUGGAGAUUUACUUUUAUAUUUGAAGUUGUGCUCAUAUUAUUAUAUUGAUUGUUCAAAAAGGAUUAAAAUAAGUUGAGUAAGAAAUAGAAAAAGCCCAUGAGAGUAUAAAAUAUGUCAAGGGGUCAAAAAUGAGAGAAAAAAAAAUUCUUCAAGUGUGUUAAGUAUCUCUAGGUGACAAGAAAAAAUUAUGACAACUUUUCUUAUGCUUGAUAGUUUUAUGUAUAACAAAAAUGCUCGUUGUCAUUUACAAUUGAGUGAUUCUAAUUACAAGAGUUGUCUUCUGAAGAAAGACUAGAGGAAAAUAGAGAAAACUGGCAAAUUCUUGUCUAUGUUUCAUGAGAUCAUAUGCAUUUAUUUUAGGUCAAAAUUGUUGGUUUGAAAAAUAUUUUUCAACAGAAAUAUUUGGAUCACAAUUCUCAUACAAUAUAUAAAAUUACCAUAAUCUAAAAAUCGUACCUUUGCUUUUUUUGCUGAAGUAACCUAGGCUUUCAGAUCACGAUUUGUCACCACUAAUCUUGUUAGAUUACGAUUCGCCACCAUUGAUCUUCUAGGUUAUGACUUAAGUUUGAUAUGCACUUGACGUGCGGACGCCUUUAUCACUACUAAAAACAACUCGAAAGAAAAAAAUUUUUUCUCUCAAAGAUAGAGAGAAAAAAUAUUUUUUUCUCUAAGUUGUAUAUUGUGGCUACUGUCUCUUUUUAGAGAAAACAAGUCUUUUUAUAUCUCUAUUUGGUGGAAACCAUAGGCUCCAUAUAUAUAUAUAUAUAUAUAUAUAUAUAUAUAUAUAUAUAUAUUAAAUUCUAUUAAAUCAAAUUUGAUUUAAAUUAAAAAAAUAAUAAAACCAAAAGUCGCGUUACUUGUUCUUGUUAUAAGAGCCCACCUUAUAAAAUAACACAAUACCUUUUACACACAAGCAUAUUAAAUGGAGCCUCCCACUAAAUAAUAUAUUUAGGCUUUUAACCCAAAUAGUUAGUUAUCUUGUUUAUUAAUUCAAUAGUUGUGCAGUCAAUUAAAUGAGCUAACUUGGGAAUCAUAUGGGAACAUACAAUAGUGGCUACAAUAAUUAAGCAUGUAAUUAAACUAACCCAAUUAUUUAAUUCCAAAUCUACUCCACUAAAAAUUUGGAAUUGACUUCCAUAAUUGUAUGCUAUCAAGGAUAGUGUUCUCAAAUAAUAAUUCGACUCAUGCCACAUUGAUUUCCUUACUAAACAAUCUUUUGUACCACAUCGCUAAUUAAAUUGAUAUCUCAACUGUUCAAUCAAUUUAAUUACAUCUUGUUCCUUGACACUUAUUGGUUUUAUCUACUGAACAUUUUCAACAUAUUAAUUAUGUUGACACACUCUGACCAGAGAAUUCUAUGAUUAAGUACUGAAAACCCGUCAAGAGAUGUGUUGUAUAAAUUUUAUAUUGUUAAUCUAUAAUCUCACUACUCAUAAUUGCUUCCACCAAGAUAUUGGGUAAUCUUGACCACAAAUGUAUGUCCCACCCAUUAGUAACUCAAAUGAAAUGAAAAUAAAAAAAUAUGAAACUAUAAUUAACUCAAGGUUCAUAUUGCAAUAAAAUCAAUACCUAUGUGAUCCAUUAAUAAGAAGAAUAUUAGUAUAAUAAACGUCUCAAGAAUGGACUCUAGUAUGAAGAAAAGUUCUUCACCACCGCUUGAAGCCAACCGAUCUAUGAAAAGGGCCAAGUUUAAGGAGAAUGGUGUAGAUGGGGAUAACCUACCUCCCGUUUCGUUCAAAGACAAAUUAAUGGAGCAGCGGGCUAUGAAGGAGGAACUAAUGGGCAAGGACGAGGAUAUGGAAUUUGACAUAGGAGACGUCAUUGUCGUCGAAAAGGAAGGGGUUCUGCCAUCCAUAUCUUUUUCUUGGAAGAUCCUCUCACAAUUAGUGAAACCCUGGCAAUCAACGGUGGUUGUGAAAUUACUGGGAAGGAAUAUUGUUUAUAAAGUUAUGUGUAGCCGCCUGGAGGCCUUAUGGGGUAUGUCUAAUGGUUUUUCUGUGAUAGACCUGGAGAAUAACUAUUUCCUAGUCCGGUUUAAAACAGUUUUAAAUGCUCAGCAUGUGUUAACGUAAGGACCAUGUAUUGUGCUUGGCCACUAUUUAACGAUUCAAGCAUGGUCACCUCAUUUUGAUAGCGCAAAUGAGAAGAUUUCUUCCAUCGUAGCCUGGAUUCGUCUCCCUAGAAUGCCACUACAUUAUUACCAUAAGAAGGUGCUACGCUUGCUGGGACAGAUAAUCAGAAACGUUGUCCGCAUUGACUACAACACUGAGUCAACUACUCGGAGUAAGCUUGCUCGAAUUGCUGUUGAAGUUUGCAUUGGAUAAACCAUUGUGCUCCUAGUUCCUUCUUGACGGCAAGAUCCAAAAAGUCGAGUAUGAAAGGUUACCCACUAUAUGCUUUGUAUGUGGAAAAUAUGGUCAUCUUAGUGCUUCCUGCUUUGAUGAAAGAGGAAAUGAAGCAACGGAGAGGGGCAUAAAUGUGCCUACUGAUCAAUCUGUAGAGGUGGAACCUCCACUGCAACCAGCAAACCCUAGGUUUGGCCCUUGGAUGGCGGUGACCAAAAAAGGCAACAAUCGUUUUCGAAAGGAAAAUGCCAAGGUUUCUAGACAGAAUCUCACUGAAAAUGGAAUGAUUGAUAACGGUUCAAGAUUUGGUCCCCUUAUGAAUGCUGAUAACCUUGAAGAUAACUUUACUUCCAAUAAUACCAUGCCCAUGCCUGAAAGUCAACCUGCCCGUUUUCCCGAUACACAAGCACCAAUUCCUAAAAAUAACAUUUUUCAAACCCAAAAGGCCAAGUCCCUUACGAUUUUACCCUCUGGGAAUAAGAAACAUACACUGUCAUUAAAAAGCCCCACCACCAGAACAAAAAAUGCGCUUUUGCAUGCCUAUACACACGUAACCNNNNNNNNNNNNNNNNNNNNNNNNNNNNNNNNNNNNNNNNNNNNNNNNNNNNNNNNNNNNNNNNNNNNNNNNNNNNNNNNNNNNNNNNNNNNNNNNNNNNAUGCAUAAGUUGCAUUUCUAUUCCAAAGCUACUGGAAUUGAGGACAAGUUAGAAAAAGUAGUAGUUCACUCUAGUGACCCAACUAGUGGGAGAGAACUAAAUAUGAGAGUUUCGGAUGAUGAUUCUAAUGAUAGUGACUAUACAGGAAAUAGUCAGGAAAAUGAAGAAGAGUUGGAAUCAGCUGGCUCUCUUGAAUUUUAGGAUAGCCUAGAUUUUAUGCUGAUGAUUGAUACCCCUGAUGGGUAAGGUUUAUACCUUUCUACUCCUUUUUUAUUUCCUGAUGUGUACUUAUAUGUUCUGGAGCUGUCAAGGGACAGCAUCAAAAGGCUUCCUUCAGUAUUUCAAAAUGCUUGUAAUGUGUUAUAAGCCAGACCUGGUGGCUCUUUUUUAGCCUCACAUCAGUGGCAAUAGGGCUGAUGUCUUCAUUAAGGAAUGUGGCUUUUCUAAUUCGCACAGGGUUGAGGCAACUGGCUUUGCUGAUGGUAUUUGGCUUCUAUGGAAUGAUGGUAUCCAAGUGGACGUGGUUGUGAAUAAUAGACAAUUUAUUCAUUGCCGGGUUUCCAGACUCGGGUUGUUUUCUUGUUGGGUAACGAUGGUAUAUGCAAGUCCAGUGCGUAUAGUGAGACAACACCUUUGGCCAUUAUUAGACAAUAUUGCAAUAAAUACUCACGGCCCCUGGAUUAUUAGGGGAGAUUUUAAUACAAUUAUGAAUUCUACGGAAAGAAGAGGAGGAUGUGGGAAUACGAUUGAUGUUCAAUUUGUUCAGAGAUUGGUUUCACAGGAAUCAGUUAUGUGAUCUUGGUUUUACCGGUCCUUCUUUUACUUGGUCUAGAGGAUCCCUUUAUAAACAGCUAGACAAAUGCUUGUGUAAUGAGGAUUGGCUACGUUUAGCCCCUGAAACUGUUGUUUACCAUUUUCCUAGAAUCCAUUCAAAUCAUCGCCCUCUUUUAGCCCUUCAUUAUCGUAUUGGUGCUCAUCAGCUAGGGCAUAGACCUUUUCGUUUCCUUGUUUCUUGGCUUAGAGACCAUAGAUUUGCUAAUUUUGUAAAAAGUGCUUCGGAUGGCUCUAAAAACUAUAUGCAGAUGAUUGAAGAGUUUAAGACCAAUCUCUGGACUUGGAACAGAGAAGUGUUUGGGAAUAUUUUUAAACGGAAAAGAAGAAUCUUGGCGAGAAUCGGUGGUAUUCAAAAAGCUUUAGAAGUUCGUCAAUCUAACCAUCUUACUUGGUUGAAAGCAGAUUUAAGGCAGGAAUUAGAAGAGGUUCUGACCCAAGAAGAGAUUAUUUGGUACUAAAAAUCUAGAAGAGAAUGGAUUAAAAGUGGAGAUCGGAAUACAAGAUUUUUCCACCAAAAAACCAUCCAACAACGAAGAGCGAAUAAAGUGGUGGCUGUACAGGAUGAUUCCGGUGUCUGGCUAUACGAUAGUGAAGAGAUUAAGGCACAUGCUAUUUCUUUUUUUGUCAAACUUUACUUCAACGAGGACAGAAAAUAUCAUAUGUACCCGGUUCUAAAUCACUUUCUAAGGAUGGAUAGCAAUACCAUGGGCAACUUGUUUAAACCAGUGCAUGAUGAGGAAAUUCAGUAGACGAUUUUUGGUAUGCCCCCCUUGAAGGCCCCUGGUGUGGAUGGCUUUCAUGUUAUCUUCUAUCAAUCUCAAUGGCAGGUUGUGGGGCCCUCGGUUUGUAAAGUGGUAAAAGAGGUCUUUGGUGGCACGCCAAUUCCUAAAGAGCUCAACGGGACUUUGCUUGUGCUCAUACCUAAAACCAACAAUCCUACUAGCUUGAAAAUGUUUCGGCCUAUUAGUCUGUCCUCCAUGGUGUAUAAAACAAUCACCAAAAUAGUGACUAAUAGACUCAAGGAGGUGUUGCCGAGGUUUAUUGGCCCCAACCAGACAAGCUUUAUUCCAGGGAGACAUAUUACAGAAAAUAUCGUUAUUGCACAAGAAGUAAUUCAUUUUAUGCGAAAGAAGAAGGGGAAAUCUGGUUAAAUAGUUAUCAAGGUUGAUCUUGAAAAAGCCUAUGAUAGAUUAAACUGGGAUUUCAUCUUUGAAACUUUGUGCAUAGUUGGGUUACCCUAGGGCUUCAUUCGAGUUAUUAGGGAAUGCAUUUCGUUUGCCACCAUGCAACUACUUUCAAGACAAGGUAUUCCCAUUUCUCAUAUCUUUUUUGUUGAUGAUCUUUUACUUUUGGCAGAAGCUUCACUAGACCAAGCAGAAGUUAUCAUGGAGGUGCUCGAUACGUUUUGUUGGAGUUCAGGAGAAAAAGUGAGCAAAAAUAAAACACUCACAUUUUCUCCCAUAAUGUGCACACUAGCGAUGCCCAACGAAUUGGAGCCAACUUGGGUUCACCACUACAAAGGACCUUGGCACUUAUCUAGGCACGCCUCUACUCACAAGCGGAUAACCAAGUAUACUUACCAGACCAUCAUUGAUUGGGUUCAACAAAAACUUUCUGGGUGGUCAGCAAAGCAUCUUUCCUUAGCAGGUCGGAUUACUCUCACGCAAUCAGUUAUCUAGUCACUUCCAUCUACUGUAUGCAAACCACAAUGCUCCCUACGAGUAUUCGAAAUAAGAUCGACCACAUAUGCAGACACUUUAUAUAAAGUGGGAAGGAAGAAAACUACCGUAUAAGCCUUAUUAGGUGGGAGAGUAUUCAACUUCCCAAAUCCCAUGGAGGCCUUGGUUUAUAGGAUCUUAACCUUAUGAACAAGGCAUUACUUAUGAAAAUUGGCUGGGGCAUUCUCGACUCACCAAACAGUCUCUGGAUUAAAGUCUUGAUAUCUAAGUAUGGUGUUAACAGCAAUGAUCUUCCUUCUUCGCUCCCAACUAAACAUGGGUCACCUCUAUGGAAGGCAGUGGGAAACAUAUGGAAGGAAGUCCUUUAAGGGGUUCGUUGGGCUCUAGGCAACGGCAAGACUGCGAGGUUCUGGAAAGAUUGUUGGAUGAUGGACGACCACUGCCUUCAGAAGUAUGCUAUUGGCCCAAUCCCUGACAGCUUGGUUAAUCAAUAUGUAGCCAGGUUUAUGGAUCAAGAGGGUGCUUGGAAUUGGGGUCUGUUUGCUUCCCUUUUACCAAAUUAUAUUCUUUUCAAGAUUGCGGGUACAAUGCGACCUUGUGAGCGUGGAGUUGAGGACUGUUGUUUUUGGGGUACAUCAAAGUCUAGUUGUUUCACUGUAAAAUCUGCUUACUUCUACUUGUUUAAGUCGUGCCAAGUGGAAUAAUUCUCUUUGGAGUUCGAUUUGGCGAUGGAAUGGUCCCCAAAGUGUUCGUUGUUUCCUUUGGCUGUUAAUGCAUAACAGGUUGAAAACGAGGGCUGAGCUCCUUCGCAAACACUCGAUAGAUGAUUGUGCUUGCAUGAGAUGCGGGUUUCACGUGGAGGACACCUUACAUGCAGUAAAGGAUUACAUUGAUUCCAAACGUGUUUGGCUCGCUUUAAUUCCUAACCACUUACAUUUUACCUUUUUCAUGUUGGAUUUUCGGUCAUGAGUAAUCUGUAAUAUGAAGAAUAGCUUUCAAAUUGCGAACUUCGGGGAUUGGUCAGUGCUUUUUGGAGUCAGUGUGUGGAGGUUAUGGUUUUGGUGUAAUCAAUUUACUGAUACUAACAUAUCAUGUAGUAUUGGUAAUGUGCUAAUGGAUGUUCAUAACCGCACUGAGGAAAUUACUUUGACCCAUGAUUUUUUGAAGAAGCAGCAAUCCAAUAAAAUUGAGAAAUUGAUUCAUUGGCAACCCCCAACGUGGCCAUAUUUCAAACUCAAUACUGAUGGGGCUUUGAAACAGUCUGGUUUGGCUAGUGCUGGUAGUUUAGUGAGGAAUUGAUGUGGUGAGUGGGUAUGUGGUUUCAAUAUGAACUUGAGAAGUUGCUCUAUAAUGGGGGCUGAAUUGUGGGGCCUUUUUAAAGGGUUACAAAUGGCUUGGGAUCAUGGCAUCCGUUUCCUAAGGGUAGAAGUUGACAACUUGAGCAUUACUCAAAUUUUAGCUGAUCGUAACUAUCACAGUAAUGCUAAUUCUUCAUUGAUUUGGGGAAUAAAGGUUUUGCUAAGCCGAGAUUGGUUGAUUUCAGUGCAUCAUGUGUAUAGGGAAGCGAAUUUUGCUGCUGACUUCUUUGCAGGCAUGGCGCUCACCCUCCCACUUGGUUUCCAUUUAUUUCAUCAACCUCCCCCAGGCAUGACCCAUUGGCUGUUCAGUGAUGGUUUGGGGACUGCUUUCCCUUGUUUUUGUUUAACCUAAGCACUGGCUAGGUUACUUUUGUAUAAAAAAAAAAAAAUUUCAUAUGUGAUCUAGUUCAAUAUAGUCAAAUUAAAUCAGUAAAUUCAUACAUGAUUAAGAUAAAUCAUUCAAUAAAUUUACUAUAGUCUAAACAUAAAUAGAGCGCCCAACUCUAUUUAUCAAUUGUGAACUUAAUUUAUUUAAUUAUAAGAUAACUUGUAUUUAUCUCUUAUGUGAAUCCAUAUGAUGAUCACAUAAAUACAUAUAAUAUGAUUAAAUGGACCUUAUUCAAAAUAUUUAUGCAAUUAAGAUUUUUAAAAAAUAUCUCAAAUAUUUUAUUAAUUAAAAAAUAAAUAAAUCAAUAUGUUUUAAAGAGCACAUAAUCCCAACAAAAAUACCCCAGUUCAAGUUUAUAUUUUCCUAGGGUGUUUGUAUCUAAUGUUGUUUUGGAUCAAUUAUUGCAUAGUGAGGAUGUAUAUAUGAAAAUUAUGGCAUAGAAAAUGAUCGAAAAGUUUGAAAAGUAUUGGUUUGAUUUUUGUACCAUUUUGGCGAUUGUGGUCAUCUUGCAUCCUCGAUACAAGUUGGCAUUCAUUAAGUUUGCCUACGACAACACUUAUGAUCAAAAUUCAAAGUAGUUAGAACUUGUUCAUGAUAAGUUGUUUUCAAUUUUUAAUGAGUAAAAUUUUAUCACACUAUCUUUUUCCACCACAUCCACACUUACUUAAAUGAGUGAUAUUGGUUCAAGUGUGGGACAUAAUGACAAUAGUCAGAAUACACUUAACCAAUGGACCAUGGAACUAUUCAUGGUACAUUUACAAUUUUCUUUUCUGUUAUUGUGACAAUUAUUAUUGCCUUAUUUGUACUUGUUUUGGAUUUUGACAAUUCUUAUUUCUUAAUUAUUUUAUAGGAGUUUGAUGAUCUUAUUAACAUGGAUUGUUAUGCCUAUGUUAGAAAAUCUGAAUUAGAGCUUUAUUUGGAUGAACCAAGAAUAGAUUGAUUGAUUUAAACAUUCUAAGUUUUUUGAAAGGAAACAGAUUUUGUUAUCUUAACCUUUCUUCCAUGGCUCGUGAUAUCUUAAGCAUUCCUAUAUCCCUGUUGCAUCUGAAUCGGUUUUUAGUAUUGGCAGUCAAGUUCUUGAUCAAUUUUAAAGUUUAUUGAAAUCAAAGAUUUUCCAAGCAAUUAUUACUAUAAGAGAAUGGGAUGUUAUGAGAGAUUGGUAAGACUUGCUAAUGAAAUUAAUUAAUUUUUUUUAUAAAAUUAUAUCAAUUUUUUCUAAUUAAGAUUUAUUUUUAUACAAUUAGGGCAUGUUUGGUACUCCUCAUUAUAUGGUAUUAAAACCACUCAAAGUAUUAAAGGAUUAUAACGCCAUGUUUUGUAAUUUUAGGGUGCGUUUGGCACACCGUAUUGUAUUAUAUUGUAUUUUAAUGUAGGUAUACUAUAUUUUGUUGUAUUGUAUUAGCACUGUAUUAUCAUAUGUUAUACAAUGUUUGGUGCUACAUUGUAUUGUAUUAAUUUUCAAUUAAACUAUAUUUUGUGUUAUAUUGUACUGUAAUAUUUUUUUUGAGUAAUUUAUAUUAUAUAUUUAGAAAAUAAUGUAAUAAUUUUUUGAGUAAUUUAUAUUAUAUAUUUAGAAAAUAUUAUUUAUUAAUAUUUAGAAAAAUACUAAAUAUAGAAGUUUAAAUUUAUAAAUUUAACAAUUGUUUUAGUGUAAAUGUUAAAAAAUAUCAUAAUUCUUCAUAACUAUCAAAGCUUAUAACCUUAAAUUUUCAGAAGCAUUACAUUUAUUUUUCACAAUUUUCUAAAUAUAUGAUCUGUGAGAUAAAGAUCAAAACAAAUAACUUAAUCAAAUAAUCUCUAAUAAUAUAACAACAUAAAUAAUUAAUUAAAACCUAGAAGAUUAGUUCAAAAGUUAUCUUAGGAUAAUGAAAUAAAAAUUUAUACACACCACAAGAUGAUAACAAAUUAAUAAAGUGAUAUAAUUGCUAUAACAUAUUCACUAACAAAUGAAUUGUGCUAAAUAAUCCAAGUAAAAGUUCUGUAGUAUAUGCAAUAAUAUUUUAUAUUAUUAUUUAAAUUAAUAAUAUUAUUAAUUAUAUUAAAUUAUAAAUUUAAUAAUAAAUUAUAAUGUAAAAAUAAAAAUAUAAAAAAAUAUUAUUGACUAAUAAAUUAUUAAUUUAUUAAUUUAUAUCAAUAAUUAUAAUGUAAAAAAUUAAUAUUAAUAUUAUAUAAUAUAAUAUUCAAAUUCAAAAGUUAUAUUUAUUCAUUUUUAUUUUUAUUAUUAUUAAGAAAAUUGAAAAAACUUAAUAAGAGGCAAACUAAUGUUGCAACUGCCUCAUUAGCAUAUCCCAUUAACGCAGUGUAGCUGUAGCAGCUUUUAGCGCCAAUCAUGAGCUUGUAUAAAUUGAAUACAAAAUAGUGUUUUUAUCCCAUAUAAUGUAGGCUACCAUACACACCCUUAAUGCAUAGUAUUGUAAUGUUUUGGGUUUAUGCGGAUUUGUAAAUUGUAAUUAUUUUGAGGCAAAGUUCUCCUUAUCGUUUAUGUCUCAGAUGAAACAAUCACUAUUGUAAAGGGAUGGCAGGGAAAAAGAAAUAAGCUAAGACGGAGGCACUCGAUGAACUUGCUGAGCCACUCAUUUACCAAACCAACUCUUUAAAAUUCCUCAAAUCCUCUGCAAACAAAGCCUCUAAGUAACUCAAAACCAUAAAAAUCGAAAAAUCUAGCUAAAAUCUCCACCAAAAUGAUAGACCGCGUCGAGACCAGCCUCAAAGAAUCUAGCCACAAUUUGUUCUUGUUCAAGUUCAAAUUCGACGACAUUAUCGUCCUCGUUCUGUUCAAAGGGAAAGUUAUAGCAAAAUUACUGUUCAAGCCCUUUGGGAUUGUCAUGAAGAUGUGCCAUCGUAGGCUGCAAGGUGACACGUUAAAGUGAGAGUACAGCAGAAACUUACACUUGUGCCGUAUCAUUUAGAUUUGGGAUGGAUUAGUCGAUGAAAUUGCUUGGAAUUUAGUAGUUGGGGUGUGGGGUAUCAUCAAAUUUACACACAUAAAAAAAAAAAAAAACAGAAGCAAAGAAGGUUCGACUGGCACUCAGCAACUCAAGUAAAUUUGAAUGUACAAACAAAAUGGAACUUGUGAUUGAUAAUCAAUCAAUAUUUUAGUGAAAAAAAAAUUGAAGCAAAGAUUUCAAUGCUUGAUAAAUACGUUACCAUUUCAUACUCUAAAAUGCAGUCUCUGUACCAUUCUCAUCCAUGUUCUUGAAUAAAUAAAUCUUUUUUAUUUAUUGCUUUAAAAAAAAUCUCCCUAUCAUUAUUUGAAUGAACUAAUGGCUUUUAUCUUCAUUUCACAAGUUAUAUAUUUAGGAAAAGCCAAAAAAAGAUAAAUGUUAUGCAACUGAAAUUUUAAAUUUUGUUAGUUUUACAUAUGUUUUAGGGAGAAUUAUAAUUUUUUUCACAUUUAUACUAAAAACAUAAUGUAAACGUUCUAAAAUCUAAAUUUUCUAUAGUUAGUAUUUUCCUAAGUAUCGUACUAAUAAAUAUUAUUUUCUAAAUAUAUAAUUUAGAAUAAUCACCAAAAAUGAUUAAUACAUUACAGUGCAACACGAAACAUAAAUUAAAUUAUAAAUUAAUACAAUAUAAUGGAGUAUCAAACACUGUACAAUAUUAUUAUAAUACGGUUAUAAUGUAAUACAGUAUAAUAAAUAAUUUUGUAUUAAAAUAAUGUAAUAUAAUAUAAUAUAAUACUAUAUAGUACGCCAAACGCACUCUUACUGUAGAAAAUUUUGAUGUCAUUUUGGCCCAACUUACUGAAAACAUUAUGAACUAAUAGUGCUCGAUCUCAAGAGAGUGCCAAUGAUGCUAGUGACAAUGUGGGAGUGUGAUAGGGAAAGUUUUAUCUUGCUGAUUUUUCUUGCCUUUGUAGAUUUAAUCAUUAUUUCCUUAUCAAUACUACAAAAUUUGGUAAAUGGUUGAUAUUUUGAAAUGUUACGAUGAUGCUAGUGACAAUGUUGUUUUGGAUCAAUUAUUGCAUAGUGAGGAUGUAUAUAUAAAAAUUAUGGCAUAGAAAAUGAUCGAAAAGUUUGAGAAUAUGGCAUUUUGGAUCACUCAAAUGAGUUUUGGUUUUAUUUUUGUACCAUUUUGGCGAUAGUGGUCAUCUUGCAUCCUCGAUACAAGAUGGCAUUCAUUAAGUUUGCCUACGACAAUACUUAUAAUCAAAAUUCAAAGCAAUUAGAACAUGAUCAGGAUAAGUUGUUUUCAGUUUUUAGUAAGUACAAUUUUAUCAAACUAUCUUUCUCCACCACAUCCACACUCACUCAAAUGAGUGAUGUUGGUUCAAGAUUAGGACAUAAUGACAAUAGUUAGAAUAUACUUAACAAAUGGACCAUGGAACUAUUUAAGGUACAUUUACAAUUUUCUUUUCUGCUCAUUGUAAAAAUUAUAUUAUUGUCUUAUUUGUACUUGUUUUGGAUUUUGACUAUUUUUAUUUUUUUAAUUAUUUUGUAGGAGUUUGAUGAUCUUAAUAGCAUGGAUUGUCAUGCCUAUGUUAGAAAAUCUGAAUUAAAGUUUUAUUUGGAUUAACCAAGAAUAGAUAGAAAGAUUAAUUUAAACAUUCUAAGUUUUUUAAAGGAAACAGAUUUCGUUAUCUUAACCUUUCUUCCAUGGCUCGUGAUAUCUUAAGCAUUCCUAUAUUUCCUAUUGCGUCUGAAUCAACUUUUAAUGUUGGCAGUCAAGUUCUUGAUCAAUUUUAAAAUGUAUUGAAAUCAAAGAUUGCCCAAGCAACUAUUACUAUAAGAGAUUGGAUGUUCGGAGAGAUUGUAAGACUUGCUCAUGAAAUUAAUUUAUUUUACUUUUAUAAUAUUAUAUUCAAUUGUUUCUAAUUAAGAUUUAUUUUUAUAAAAUUAGGACAUUUUGGUACUCCUCGUUAUAUAGUACUAAAACCCUCAUAGUACUAAAGGAUUAUAAUCCCAUGUUUUGUAAUUUUAAUGCAUAGUAUUGUAGUCAAAUAUCUAAUUUAUGCUAUCAAACCCACACGGACUAAACUCACGAGGAAAUCGGGUUUAUCCGGAUUUGUAAAUUGUAAUUCUUUUGAGACAAAGUUCUCCCUAUCGUUUGUGUCUUAGAUGAAACAAUCACUAUUGCAGAGGCAUGGGAGGGAAAGAGGAAGAAGGUAAGAUAGAGGCACUUUAUGAACUUGCUGAGCCACUCAUUUACCAAACCAACUCUUACAAAUUCCUCAAAUCCUCCAUCAACAAAGCCUCCAAGAAACUCACGACCACAAAAAUUGAAAACCUAGCUAAAAUCUCUACCGAAAAGUCCAGGACCAAAACGAUAGACCGCAUCAAGACCAGUCUCAAAGAAUCUAGCCACUAUUUGUCCUCGUUCAAGUUCAACUCCAACACCAUUGUCACCCUUGUUCUGUUCGAAGGGAAAGUUGUAGUGAAAUUAUUAUUCGAGCCCUUUGGGAUUGUCAUGAAGAUGAGCCAUCGUAGGCUGCAAGGCCACAUGUUAAAGUGAGAGUACAAUAGAAACUUACAGUUGUGCCGCAUCAUUUUGAUCUGGGAUGGAUUGCUUGAUGAAAUUGCUUGGAAUUUAGUAGUUGGGGCCUGAGGUAGCAUCAAAUUUAUGCACGUAAAAAAAACAGAUGCAGAGAAGCUUCAAUCGUCACUUAGCGACUCAAGUAAAUUGGAAUGUGCAAACAAAAUGGAACUUGUGAUCGAUAAUCAAUCAAUAUUUUAGUGAAAAAAAAAUUGAAGCAGUGAUUUCAAUGCUUGAUAAAUACGUUGCCAUUUCAGACUCUAAAAUGCAGUCUUUGUACCAUCAUCAUCCACGUUCUUGAAUAAAUAAAGCUUUUCUAUUUAUUACUUAAAAAAUAAUCUCCUUGUCGUUAUUUGAAUGAAUUAGUGGCUUUCAUCUUUAUUUCACAAGUUAUAUAUUUACGAAAAGCAAAAAGAAAUAAAUGUUGUGCAGCUGAAAUUUUAAAAUUUGUUAGUUUUAGAUAUGUUUUAUGGAGAAUUAUAAUUCUUUUUACAUCUAUGAUAAAAAAAAUAAUGUAAAAGUUCUAAAAUCUAAAUUUUCUGUAUUUAGUAUUUCCUAAGUAUUGUACUAAUAAAUAUUAUAUUCUAAAUAUAUAAUUUAGAAUAAUCACAAAAAAAAAUUAAUACAAUACAAUGCAACACUAAACAUAAUAUAAUUAAAAAUUAAUAUAGUACAAUGUAGUAUCAAAUAUUGUAUGAUAUUAUUAUAAUACAAUUCUAAUGUAAUACAAUAUAAUAGAAUAUAAUACAAUACAGUACGUCAAAUGCACCCUUACUGUUGAAAAUUUUGAUGUCAUUUUGGCCCAACUUACUGAAAACAUUAUGAACAUAAGCACUAAUAGUGCUUGAUCUCAAGAGAGUGCCAAUGAUGCUAGAGACAAUGCAGGAGUGUGAUAGGCAAAGUUUUAUCUUGCUGAUUUAUCUUGCCUUUGUAGAUUUAAUUAUUAUUUCCUUAUCAAUACUACAAAAUUUGGUAUAUAAUUAAUAUUUUGAAAUAUUAUAAUGACUCUUAUCAAUGUUGCAACGUGUAGAAUGUUUAUAAUAUUUUGAAAUAUUUUUGAUAUUUUGAAAUAUUACAAUACUAUUCUAUUUACUUUUUCCUUGUAGGAUUCUUGUUUUCAAUGUGACAAUGACAAAAUGAAGAGAAUUAAAGAAAUCACCUUAGUUUAUAAUUUGAAUUUUAAUUGAUAUUAUUUGGAUUAUUAAAAAUUUAUAAUUUGGUGUUUGGAUGACUAAAUAUUUAAUCUAAGAAUAUAGUUUGGAUUAUUUAUAUUUUGUAGAAUGUUAAAUUUGUGGUCUUUUUAUUUUAUUUUGCCUAAUUUUUGUUUAUUAAUUAUAUUUUUGUAAACAAUAGUAAAUGGAUUCAUAUUUGAUUUGCUUCAUUUAUUAAUUUUACUAAAUAAGUUAAACGAAUCAAACCAAAUAUUUAUUUAAUAAAUAAAUCAAAUCUAAAUCCUAUAAUUCACUAGUAAAAAAAUAGCUUUCUCUGAUACUAUUUUGGUAUCAGAAACUUGUUUUACUAACACCGAAUUUAGUGUCAUUGAAUACGGUACAAGAAAUUUAAUGACACAAGUUUUUUGCAUCAGCGUAUCUAUGUCACCAUAGUAUCAAAAAAAUGUUGAUGCUUGAACAUCACAUCUAUAACGAGACUAAGGUAUCAAACAAAUAAUGAUACGAAGGCAUAAUAAAUAUAACGAUACUUUGGUAUCAAUGUUUAUUGAGAAAAAUUUUUAAAAAGAAAUCGAUAUAAUAGAAAUUGAAAAUUUGCAAUUGGCAUUUGAAUUGAAAUUUACAUUCAACAAUAUGAAAACUAUUACAUUGCAAUGAAUAAUUUAAAAAUUAUUACAUUGUUUGAAACUUAUUACAUUGUUACCAACUACAAAUAAUUUAUAAAAUGAUAUAUAAUAACAGCACAAUCUUCCAACACAUGUUUAUUGCUUCUGCGGAUUCUUUCUUUCGGUAAUCGAAAUGAAGUCUUCUAUUAUUGUUUCCAUGUUCCAAUUUGACAUUUGCUCUGAUUAUUUAGUUUUGACCCAUAUACAUGCUUUGGUUUAUUGUAAGUCAUCUUGCACCAUUCAAGACAUGCACAAUAAAAAAAACUGAUAAAAUUUACAUGCUGCAAUCUACAUAGUUUCCUAAUUUCUUCAAAAUUGUAGUUUGUACGCACACAACUACUGAAUCUAAAUGGUAUGAAACUAAAUUAACAUAUUGUUUGUGCAUAGUUAUUAACUGAAGAAAAAAAUAAAAAUUAAUUAAACUUAGAGCUAUCAAUUUGUUAAAUCAAAAGUGUAUUAAGAAUAAGCAAAAAGGGUGGUUACUAGCCUCGUUGAGAAAAGUAUAGGUAAUUUUGCCGCUGGUCUUUCUUUGUUGGGCAGUCUAGAAUCAUCACAAUGAAUGUGAUGAAGGGUAAUUUUUAAUAACCUCUCUUGAAGUUUGAGGCUGUUGUAAAUAGAUAGCAAAAAUCAUUUUAUUUGUUAAAAGCUCUCUACCGUCAGUUAAAAUUUUUAUUGACUAACUGUUGAUUUUAAAAAGACAAUAUUACCCCUAAUCCUCAUUUUCUGCUUUUCUCUUCAAAUUAUUUAUUACACUUACUUUCCCAGAAUCAGAAAGGUUAUAGUUUUUAAGUUGGCGUCUUGCAUGAAGUCUCCGUACAAUGACAAGUUUGUUAGUUUAAAUACAUCGCUAAUCUCACCGUCUUAAUGUCUCGUUACUCAUACACAAAGUAGGAAGCAUAUAUACUUACAUAGUCCUAACCUAAAUAAUAAGGGACGUUGUAAAUCGUUUCAAGGCUUCGUUUACUCAAUAUUCACAAAAAUCUUCCAACUCUUACCCAAAACUACCCCACCAGUAUUACCACCACAACAAGCACCGGCUGCGGAUCAGCAAAACCUAGAUUGGACAAUGAUAAUGAUAGCCUUUUUUUUUUUUAAGCAACCCAUGCAUCAAAUUUAUUUCAUCAAAAGAAAGAGAAAAUAUUGCUCAGAAUUUUGACAAUAGUUCUCAAUCCAUCAACAAAACCCACAAAUCAAAACCACUAUAGUCUCAACUACAUAGCAAUUUCAAUUAUGUUUCACAACUUCAACAAGAGUUGUAGCUAAUUCACAAGAACCUUAAGCUUCUGAAAAAAUAGAGGCACAUCAGCUUGCUUCAAUACCUGUGUGCCAACUUCUCCUUCUCCUGGUAAUUUUGGACAUACGCGUAGGUACCGACGAGAGGACCGAGCAAAAGGAUAGUGCUAAUCCAAUUAUCGGCGACCUUGUGAUGGAUCUUACCCGUCAAAUCCUUCCAAAGCCCCGACAUAAUCUUUUGUUGAAAUGGCGACAGUGCGUACACCACCGCCUUCAUUCUCACCGGCUGCUUUCCCAUCUCUUUUACUUUAUCUCUCCCUCGUUUCUUAAUUUCUCGCAAUUUCUCCAAAAAAUGUGGACCAUUUCUCGAUUUGUGCGUGUCAUCCUUGCGCAGGGGCCAUGCUAAUCUUCUCUGUAUCGUUCCAAUUUUAUCGGAUGUUCCAAUCUUCUCUGGACCAUCUCUUUUGCUUACCAUCGACCAUUGAAAUCGCUCUUCAAUCUUUGCAGGUUCAAUCCCAGCUGCCUCUCAUGUUCCAUUUCCUUUCUCUUGCCGUCAUAUUUUCCUUCACUUUCCUUUUCCUCGGCAAACUCAUGCGUACAAGAUUUCCUAUAGCAGCCCAGCAGAAAAAUUUAUCAAAAAAUUUGAGCUUGAAACAGCAGCAAAUCAACCCAAAUACUUCGUUGUCCGGAAAAGCCAAAUCCCUCUCUUUAACAGAAGCUAGUUAUCGUCCUCCUCUUCAUUUUUUUUCUUUUUUGCUUCACGGUUUCUGCCAAACAAUUAGGGAUUUAGAAUAACAGUAAGGGAUACAUGUUACCUUUACAAACGAUUCCUUUCUUUUUCUGAUUUUUACUUCAUAAUUUCUUUAUUUUAAUAAUUAUUAAACUCUAAACCGUUAGAUUCAUUUAAAUUGAAUCCAACGGUUAGAUUUAACUUUCUGCAGCAUAAAUCUAAAUGACAAGUCAUCUUAGGCAACAAAAUUAUAAAGUAUUUGGUAAUAUUUUGAAAUGUCAAUAAUACCCCCACCUACCCAAACGGUAAGUAAACGGAGCAAAAAUGUAAGGGGUUUUUUACAAAUAAAAUGAUUUUCGCCAUCUAUUUGCAACAGCCUCAAACCUCAGGGGAGGUUUUUAAAAAUUACCCAUGUGAUGAAUAAGACCAUUUGCACUGGAACACUGAGAAAUCCCAAGGCUUAAGUCAAGAUUGUGGUUGUUGCUACUACCUGCAUUAAAAAAAUGACAAUUAAGUUACUAGAAACUAAAGUAAAUGCAUUACAAAUAGAUAAUACGGUGCCAUACACAUUCGACAAGUUUCAUACUUUCAACAAAAAGGCCUAACUGGACAAGACUCAAAACUAUACUUUGCAAAUAAAUAAUGAAUUUUUAACUCCUCCAUUACACCCUUCCAUAACUGAAAGAUAGAUAACAUUGCAUCAUCAUCAUUAUAACAUUCUUCUGCCAAUUCAUGCCUAAACAUUCACACCAAAAUGUAACACCAGCUGACAGGUAGCUACACCCCUCAACUCUAAAUAUAGGAUAAGAAAAACAAAUAUGUUUCCUGUUGCUUAUAUUAUAUCCUGAUUUAUGCUUUAGAAAUUGAAACUCAUCCACAAACAAAUAUGUUUCCUGAUUUAAGCAGUUAUGUUAGUUACCUCAAACCGCCAAUAACAACACUAUAAAUAACACAAUCAGCAAACAGCAAACCAAAAAAAAAAAAAAGGAUACAUAAUCAUAUCCUAUUUAAGUGAAUGUAAAUCGAAGGCUAUAAUUAGUUAGUAGACAAUAACAUCAUGUUUGCGAUAUGCGAAUCAAAACAGAUAUUACAUAUAAUUAUUUUUUUAAAAAAAAUUACUAACCGGCUUAUCUCAAGCAGACAUGUAAUAAAUCAUGAUUUCCAUCAAAUUAAGCAAAAUUUAUCAAAAUUAAUCAAACUACAGCUAUAGAAACAAUAAAAUCACAGUCGAAAUUAAGAGAAAAUUAGAAAAAAUUCAAAAAGAGAAAGAAAAUCGAUGAAAGAAAUGGAGCAAACACUAACCUUUGUUUCUCUGCCAAUGAACCCAUAUCUUAAUUAAUUGAAAAAAUCACUAUCAAUAAAAAAUUUAUUAGUGAGGUUAGGGUUUGGGUGAAUGGCUUUUUAGAGAGAACUAUUUAGGGUGCUUCUAGCUUUCGAAUAAUCAGAGAGAAGGAGUACGGAUGGAUUUUGUUUUGUUUUGAGGCAAAUGAGAUGUUUUGUGGCUGGGGAGUUAGGGAUUUGAGUUUUGGUUUCGACUGUGAGAGAAAGAACGGCAGAGAGGGAAAGCGAUGGGAGCCGCCGAGAUAGAGGGAGUGAAGGCGACGGAAGCAACCGAGAGCCAGGACAACAGAUCUGAGCUGUUGGGUAAUGCACCCAAUGUUAGCGAAGUGGUGGGUGCAAAUUAACUCCCAAAGGUGCUCAUUUUGAGUGCCUUGUGCCAUAGCUUGUUGACGUAAGCCGCCCGCAACAAAGUCCUGGUGUCUGCGUGUUUCAACACCUCGAACAGGGAGUUCUCAUCUAGAUUUGUGAAGCCAGUUUCUUUGACUUGCUCUUCCUCUUUCUUAUUCCUCCUCAUCUUGUUUGACUUUUUUCAUCCUUUGGUUUUCUUCGGUGGUGACCGAAGAAUGAAGACCCAUACGCUUCAUAAAGUAAAACUAGAGAAAAGCAGGAAAUGGAAAUGUUGGUGAGGAGGAGGAUGAUUUUAUUUUGUUGGGAGACUGAGAGUAAUUGUUUUGUUAAGACUGAAAAGGCUGGGUGAUUUGUUUUGUUUCAAUUUAGGGUUUCUUGAAAUGAGUGGGAAGGAUUUAGGAGAGAGGGAAGAUGAAGAGGGAACAGUACUUUCGUUAAGGGCCAAAUAUUUUCACAAUUGUUGAAUUUAAGAUACCCUAAUUUUAAAAGUAAAACUACGUCGUUUAGAAUAAGAAUAAGAAAAAUUAAAAAUAUAUAUCUAGUAUCAGUAAAAGUUUAUGAUACUGUAUUAUCAAUAACCACCGGCACUAAUAUGCAAAACACAUUAAAAGUUGCUUAGGUCAUCAAAUAUUGAUAUUUUUUUUAUUUAAUCUUAGGAACUUAGUAUCAGUGAAUGUCAUUUUUUUAGUAGUAAUUUCAAUUUGUUUAAUAAAUAAAUCGAAUUUAAAUCAGUACAAUGUUGACUCAAUUCAUUUAUAAUUCUAUUUAAAUUUGAUUUUUUUAUCCGUUUUGCUACCCCUGCACAAUCUUCACAUAACUUUAUAUAGCCUCUAAUAACCUCAUGAAUUGCUGAACUUCUAACUACAAUCUCACGUAAAGCUUUUUAACUCUUUAGAAUGGGUAGUGACUUCAAGUGCAUAUUUUCUAGUAGAUUGUCUAUUUUUAUAGGUUUAACGAUAGUUUAGUUUCUUCCUCACCUACAUGAAUAGAGUUUGAACUUUAGGCUUUUUAUGUCAUCCCAAAAGAUUAUACCAGUUAAGCUUAUUACCGAAUCGGAUCGCAUGCGUUUUAUGUAGAGUUAACAUUAACUUACAUGUUUUUUUUUUUUAUCUAAUAACUACUUAUCACAAUAAUAUAUAUAUAAAAAGCCAUCACAAAUAUCAGAACUGAAUCCACAGUGCACCCGCUGCAUCACAAAUAAUUCCUUAUUGCAGUGGCUUCAGGGCAAAAAAGCCGGCCUUGCCAUGUAGAGAUACUUUACUUAAACAAAAUAAAAGGAAAAGACAGAACAUGCUAACAAUUUAUCAACAUCAAACUACUUACGUACUGAACUAGACAAAUAAAAAUAAAAAAAAUUAUAAAAAUGAAGGAAAGAGAGAACAUACAGACACAUAAAAAGAAAUCUUGCACUUAAAGAAGCUGCCGCUUAUAGAUUCUAGAGAGAGAGAGGUUAAAACUAUUCUCUCCUGCUCUCUCUACAAACAAAGAAUUUCUCAAAUUAAAAGGUGAAAAGCAAAACACAUUACUCUGUUUUUGAGUCUCUCUCUCUUUUCAUCAUUUUUUUUUCUGUGAUUUUGUUUUAACAUGAUUUGUUUAAUUACUUGGUUUUUUAAGGGUUUGAAGGAAGCAAGUGAUUUUAUUGAGAAGAGAUGGAUAGAAUGCAUGAAGCUGUGGAUUUGGUAUUGAAACAGAGAUUGUCCUCUCUGUUCUUGAUUGUUUUUAUUACUGUUUUUUGCGUUUUUAUGUUGAGUUUACAAAUUAAGGAAAAAAAGACACCAACACACCUAUGGCUUGGCAAGAUAUAGUCACAGUGAUCUUUUUAUUUUGAAAAAUCGUCACAUAGACUCAUAGAUCUCUUUUACGACAAUUAUUGUUAUUUGAUUAUAAUAACCAGACUAAAUUUUAUCCGAAAAAAAAUUAUCUAUGUGACAGUUUCUAAACAUAAGGGUAUGUCUAUGACUAUAACUAUUUCGUCAAAUCAUGAGAGUGUUGCCAUUUUCUUCAGUGUUGUUAAGUGUUUUUGCUUUCUAGGUAUUUUGUUUUGUAAGGAAGUUCAAGUUUUGGUCUGCAGGAAAACGCAGCGAUGCAAGAGGUUUUUGAGACUUUGAAGUGCAAAUGCAAUCGAGAGGGCCUUUCAACGGAGGUAGCCGAGCAGAGACUUCCCAUAUUAGGCUACAACAAGCUUGACGAGAAAAGGGCAUUUUUACUUUUGUCAUUUUUUUUUUCCUUGUUAGCUUUCUUAUUGGAAAGUUCUAUUAAUUAAAAAAAAAAAAAAAGAUACCUUUUUAAGGAUUGUAAGACAUUUUACUUUUGUUGAUUGUAUUUUUAUUUUAUUUUAUUUUAUUUUACUUAUUUAUUAUUAUUAUCAUUAUGAUUUAGCAGGAAAGUAAAAUUUUGAAGUUUUUGGGAUUUAUGUGGAACCCUCUCUCAUGGGUCAUGGAAGCUGCAGCUAUCAUGGCAAUCGUACUUGCAAAUGGGGGAGUGAGUAUUAAGUACUGGUUUUCAAAUUAUAUUUUUAAAAUUUGUUUUAGAAAAAAAAAAUGGUGUUUUCUAUUUGAUGUUUUCGGAAAUGAAAAUAUAUCUAAUAGCUCAUUUUGUAAACAAUAUCUAAAAAUGAAAUUUAGCUAAAAACGCAUUUGAUAAUUUAUGCAAGGAUAUGAAAAGCUUUGAAAACGUGUUAGGGAUAAAGUUGUUUUUCAAUAAUAGCAUCAUACAAAUAUAAAUUUGGCAUCAAUUUUGUUGAUUUUUUUUUUUUUUUUUGGGUUGCGUAUUUACUAAUUUCAUAAUGUGUUCCUAUAACAUAUUAAUGCGCUAUUGCCCAAAAUAAUUACAUGCAAUAAUUAAAUUUAGAGAUAUUAUUCAUUCUAAAGCUUGUAAUUUUUAUUAUUAUUGUAAACCAGUGGUAGCUAGGAGACGAGUGAAUUAUCAUUUUUUUAUUUUUUUUAAUUAUUAUUUUUAGAAGAAAGAGAAGAAGAAGAAGAAGAUAAUUAGGUCAUUUGUAAUAAUCAAGUAGCCAUUGUAUCAUGAACACACAAAUUUCCCAUUUUUCAUUAUGUACGCAGGCUAAGAAUUUAAGUUUUAUUGGACAAGAUUACUUUGGCUCCGUUUGGUACAACUUAUUAAAUAGAGCUUAUAACAGUAGAGUUUAUACCAAUAGAGUUUUUGAACAAAAAGUCAUUGGAUAUUUAGUUGUCAAUAAAAAAAGUACUUUUAAACCAUUAAACUAUGUGAUAUUUUUUAUAUUAUAUAUUAUUAUACAAGAACCAGUUCCAGAAUUAACAUUUGACUAGGGAUGGCCAUUUGUGGAUUUGGGCUGGGCUUUUCAAAGCCCAGAGCUAAGCCCACAUCAUUUAAACAAAUUAUAAGCCCGUCUAAAUUUGGGCGGGUCGGGCUGGGCUUGGACAUAGACUUUUUAAAAUUAAUUAUAAAAAAUUUUUAAUUAAUUUUUUUUUAAAAAAUUAAAGAUAAUCAUCUAAUAUAUAAAAGAAUAAUAGUUCAAUACAUAAAAUAUUCGUAAUACAAUCUAAUAAAAUAAUAAAUAUUAAUAUAAAAAAAUAAACUAAUUUAAUAUUUUGAUUUUUUUUCUUUUUUAUUUAAAUUAAAUGUAUUUUUUAUUCAUAAAUUAAAAAAACUCAAGCCAAGUUCAGAUUUUUUUACUAAGCCCUUAUCCAAUGCCAACACAUGUAGGCUUUGUAAUUUUAGGCCCAUAUCUAGGUUCGCCCGUUACGGACUGAACUUGGACCGGCCCAAGUUUUUUUGCCACUCCUAUAUUUAACUAUGGUUGUUUUAAAGCUAUUUUAAGAUAGAGUACAAAUUAUAAACAUACACGUAAAGAGGUAAAUAAUAAAAAAUUUGUUAUAACUUUAAUUUUGUGUUUACGAAAGAGUGUUGGAAUUCAUAGCGGUUCCUACGUAUACAAAUCCUUAACAUUUUGGUUCAACAGGAUCAGAGAAAAGAAAGUACAAACUUGAGUAGACCAGAUAGAUAAAAAGACCUCUGAAAUUCUGGCGAAAUUUUGACCAGAUAACACUGGGGCGAAGUGGGUCACGAGGCUCAAUUGGGUUUUGACGAAAUUUUUCAAUAUAAAAUAUUGAAACAGCCUUGUGGUCUUAAGAAUUUUCGAAAAUGCUUCCCAGAAUAUCUUUUUAUCUUUUGAAAUUACCCCAUGUCAAAUCCACCUUCUUACAGGAUAUAGGAUCUCCUUGCGGCCAAUUACAAUUUUCAAAGCAUAUUCAUUUUGGGGUGUCAAAACGAAUUUCAUCAACAUUCGAUGGAUUUAAAUUAGACCAUUUAUUAGAUAGAUUUGGAGUUAGAUUCGUUUAAUAAGUAGAUAUUGAUUUAACAUAAUUAGCAGCCAAGUUGAAUUCGUUUAAAUUCAUUUACCUACAAUUAAUCCUCAAACCAAAAUUAGUAAACAAAAAAUUAAGCAAAAUAGAUUAUCAAAAAUUUCAUUUGAUUCAAUCUCAUACCUUUCUUUUUGUCUUAUUCUCAGUUAGUUACCAAACAAACCUUACAACUUAAUAAUUUUAUUUUUAAAAAAAUUAAUAAAUGAAUAAUGGAGUCAAUUACAUAAAAUUUAGAUUAGAUGGGAAUAGCUUAUUUACCUAUAUUCCGAGUAAGGAAUUUGAAGAAGUAUAAAUAGCAAAAUGGAAAUAUAUUUCAACAAAGGAAUUUAGGCUUCAUUAAAUUUAAUCCUUACUGUUGGGAGCUUCAUUGUUGCAGGGUAAACCGCCAGAAUGGCAAGAUUUUAUUGGGAUAACAACCCUGCUUCUUAUCAAUUCAACGGUUUGUUUCAUUCAGGAGAACAAUGCAGGUGCUGCCAGCACAGCUCUCAUGGCUCAUCUUGCUCCUAAAGCUAAGGUACUGGCUACACUUGAAUAGUUGUCAGGUUAAGAUUAUUGAUAAGUUAGUGCAUAUGCAUAUCUAAUAAGUUUAUUGUGAACUUCAUAUCAACUUAACUCAAUGAGAAUUGGAAUCAGAAACUGUUAUGUCAUAUUAAUUUGUAAAAUAAUACUUUGUAAGAAGAGAUUGUGGCUCUAGGCUCUAGUAUUUCUGUAAUUGGAGAUUAUUUCAGGUCCUUCGAGAUGGAAAGUGGAAGGAGGAAGAUGCAGCCAUUCUUGUUCCUGGUGAUGUCAUCAGUGUUAAGCUUGGUGACAUUGUUCCUGCUGAUGCUCGUCUCCUCGAAGGUGAUCCAUUGACAAUUGAUCAGGUGAGCUUUUGCAAACUUUGUAUGUUUGAACUGAUUUGGUAAAGUUGGGCCGCUUAAUUUGAGUGCUUUCAAUUUGUACGUUGCAGUCUGCUCUCACAGGCGAGUCUCUUACCAUAAGUAAGGGUCCUGGUGACUGUGUAUAUUCCGGCUCUACAUGCAAACGAGGGGAGAUUCAAGCUGUGGUCAUUGCCACUGGUGUUCAUACCUUCCUUGGCAGGGCUGUACACCUUGUGGAUACCACAAAUCAUGUGGGUCAUUUUCAAAAGGCAAGAAAAUGCGAAUUCACAUUCCUUAAGACUUGUUUUUAUGUUCAAUCUCACAUUAUCAUUUGCUGAAACUCUUGCUCUCGGGCUUGUUUACAGAUCUUGACUGCAGUUGGAAAAUACUGCAUAUGUUCAAUUGCACUGGGGUUAAUAUUAGAGAUCAUUGUCAUGUACGCGGUUCAACACAGGGAAUACCGCACAGGACUUGAUAAUUUACUUGUGCUUCUUAUUGGAGGAGUUCCUAUUGCCCUGCCUACUGUUUUAUCAGUGAUAAUGGCGAUUGGCUCCCAACAAUUGUCUUUGCAGGUUGGUCUUAGUUGUUAUUUAUAAUGACAUUAGUUUUAAGUGGUCAUUGGUUGAUGAUUGCAAGCAUAUAUGGACUAAUCACUGCAGGGAGUUAUCACAAAGAGAAUGACUGCAAUAGUCAAUAUGGCAGGCAUGGAUGUGCUUUGCUGUGACAAAACUGGAACUCUAACUUUGAACAAAUUAACAGUUGACAAGAAUCUAAUUGGGGUUGGUAUAAAUUUUGCUCCCUUCUAGAAUUGCAAUGUGUAUUUCAACAUUUGGCCUGGAUUAUUGUUCAGAUCUUUGCUAAAGGAGUGGAUGUAGACACUGUUGUUCUGAUGGCAGCUCGAGCCUCCCAACUGGAAAACCUAGAUGUAAUAGAUGCUGCUGUAGUAGGAAUGUUGGCUGAUCCAAAAAAGGUAUAUUUAUGAAUUCUAGAAUUUCAUGUAUGUAUUUUAAUCUAGUUAAGCUUAACUGCUUUUGAAAUUUUUGUAUUCUCAAAGGCAACUUGUAGAAGAUUUUCUUAUUUUUUCAUCUUAGCAGUUUGUUGACAUUGAUUUCUUUUAUUUUGACCUUGUUCAGGCACCAGUUAUAUCUAGAGAAAUUUUGUUGCUUCUUGUUUUGUUUAAUCCUCUGAAAAAAUGCUUAAAUGUCAGUUUUCUUUUGCAUUGCUGGUGGAGUUUAAAUACUCUUAUGGUAUUACCUUUUCAAAAUGUUUUAAUUGGCGUUUUCUUUAUAUUAAGAUAGGUAUUCCAUCUGUUUGACUUUUCAUCUUUGUCAGGUGAUCAACUUGCAAUAGCGAAAGAAACAGGACGUCGUCUUGGAAUGGGAACCAACAUGUAUCCUUCAUCAGCCUUAUUGGGGCAGGACAGGGAUGAGUCGAUAGUUGCUUUACCAGUUGACGAGUUGAUUGAGAAAGCUGAUGGGUUUGCUGGUGUUUUCCCUGGUAAAAAGCUUGAUCUCCUAAUUUGCAUUAAUUAGUCGUCCACAUACUGAAGUCAGUGUCGUAUAGGUUUUACUGAACUUGAUGUAUGCAUAACUACAUCCUACAACCUUUUCGUUAUAUUGUAAUCGUAGCAUAUUUCUUUUUUUAACCCUUGCUUACACGGCUGUCCUUAUUUUGUUAAUAGAGCACAAAUAUGAGAUUGUGAAGCAUUUGCAAGCUAGGAACCAUAUAUGUGGAAUGAUCGGUAACAGUGUCAAUGAUGCUCCCGCUCUAAAGAAAGCAGACAUUGGCAUAGCUGUUGCUGAUGCAACUGAUGCAGCUCGUAGUGCUGCCGACAUUGUCCUGACAGAACCUGGCCUUAAUGUUAUCAUUACUGCCGUUCUAAAUAGUCGAGCAAUAUUCCAGAGGAUGAGAAAUUAUACGGUGAAGGUUUGUUAAGGAAAAGGUGUUCUAUAGUUGAUAGCGUACUGAAGGAUGGGCUUUGUGUGAGGCAACUGAAUUCCUGAACCUAUCUAAUUCUAUCUAUUCCACAUUCCUUAACCGACAAACAAACUAAUAAUUUUAAAGCUUACAUUUUACAUUGCUUUAGAGCCUGGUGGUGAAGAAAGCACUGAGAUUGAAAUAACAUGUCAUUGCUCAGUUAAUUAAUUUUAGAGCCUGAGGUAAAAUAGUAAUAAAUAAUAUAAUAAACCAGGAUGUUGGCGGUGGCGCCGUUCAUGAAAACUUGAUUUUUGUGGGCAUUGGUAACUUCUUCACAGUGCUUCAGACUUUUGCAAAAUUGAAACAAGAACAUGAGCAUUGUUUACUUGAAUUACUGGAUUCCUUCUUGCUCUAUCCCGACUUUUUGAUGCUUAAUUAAUUUCUUUCUUGUCGCAGAUAUAUGCAGUCUCCGAUACCAUCCAUAUUGGAGUAAGUUGUUUGCUGCUUGUUUCAAAUACCAUGUAGGAGAGUAUUGUGUAAUUUAUUUGGUAAUUGCAACUUUAAUCUUCUAUUGUAAUUAUUGCCCUGCUGAUGAAUAUGAAAGAGUCUUCACAAAAGUAGCUUGAAUAUCUCAGCUUGACGUCCUAUCAGCUUGACAUCCUGGCUGUUUCUCUUGGUGACAGUUUGCUUUCAGGCUGUUAGCUCUCAUCUGGCAGUUUAACUUUCCACCCUUAUUCUUAAUGAUGGUUUGUAUUUCCUUGACUCAGCAUGUAUAUCGUAACUGUUUGUAUUCCUUUUCAUCCAGGUGUAUAUACUUGUCUAUUGAUAUUUACCCGGUACAUUGAUUGCCGGGUGCUAUUAUUAUUACAAUAUCAAAAGAUAGAGUCAGACCAUCUCCUCAUCCAGAAAGGUGGAAUUUGACCGAGAUCUUUGUAACUGGAAGCAUUCUUGGUGGUUACUUGGCAAUGAUGACUGUGAUUUUCUUUUGGACAGCAUACGGGACAGACUUCUUUCCAGUAAUGUGAUUUAUCUUUUGUGUUAUCAUGCCACCCAAUUCGGGUGUUAUGUAUGCCCGUUUUCCUUGAUUUAAUAAUAUAGAGAAUCAAAUAUGCCUUUACAUUGUCUUCAAUACUUGUGAUACAGUUAGCCCCCGAUGGGUUGCCACAGUGUGACACCACUAUGUUCAGUGCACAAAGCAGUUACGGAGAACUUAGCCGGAUAGCUGAAGAAGCAAAAAGAAGAGCUGAGAUUGCUAGGUAAACAUAUAAAUUUAACGCCAACAAACUACAUUACUUACUUAAUUUCUACUCUUAAAAGCCGAAAUUUAUUGCUUGAAGCAUACACUCUUAUGCAUUCACUAUUUUGAUUUUUGGCAGAUUGAGAGAACUGCAUACACUGAAAGGGCACGUUGAAUCACUUAUUAGGCUUAAAGGACUGGAUAUCAAACCAAUUCCGCAAUCCUACUCCGUCUGAUACAGAUCACACGUGACACAUUCAUGGACAUGGAACUUUUGCUGAGAUUGCAGAUAUAAGUACCUUAGUCCACAAGUAAUUUUGCAAUUCCUCGUAAAAGAGUUAUAGUUGCAUUUCUGAUGUAUAUAUUUGCCUAUCUGGGUUGUGUUUUUUCAGUUUUACAUUCUGUGUUGCAUUCCUGAUGUACAUAUUUACCAAUCUGGGUUGUGUUUUUUCAGUUUUACAUUCUGUGUUUGAAGAAAUAGUAUGAUGGGUUUAAGUACUAUACGGUCAAUACUCGUGAUACAAACCAUUAUAAGAGUAAUAUAUUUCUCUAUCUGUUUAUUAAAAUUUUUAACCUUUUUUUCAAUGUAAAUAUGUUCAAAAAACUAGGGAGGUGGUGGAUAAAAUUCAGAUUGAAUUUUUAGUCUCAUAUCUUCUCAUAAUUGGAAUUUGAUUGAUCUUUAAAGAAAGGUACUUGAAAACUACUAGCCAAAGUUUUUUAACUUCUUUGUUUCAUUUCUUUUUGACAAUUUGAAAAAUGUAACCUGCUAUUUUUGGAAGUAAUCAAAAAGCUAUAAUAGAAUUUGCUUGCGUUUGUCUGAUUUCUUGAAAAUUAAGUUUAAAUUUCAUACUUUUGUGCGACUCACAGUAAGUUUUACCGAUUAAUUAACUAUCAUCCGCAGUUCCACUCCACAUCAAAUAAAUAUUUUUUAUCCCCGUGGUGGCCCAUUUCUCAAAAACUGGUGAGAGUUACAAAAUUCUAAUCUCCAAAAGAAAAGAAAUGCAGGUGAAGUUGAGAAGCAUUUGAUUUGCAACGGAAGAUCAUUAAUAUAAUGUCAGUCUUUAUUGUUUGGGUAAAUUUCCCUUUAGUCUAUGGAGUUAGGCAUUAAUUCUUAGAUCAGUAUUUAUGAUUCGAAAAAUCUUUAUCAUUACUUUUAUUAGAGCUUAAAAAAAAAGUUUUGGGCUAAAAAGUUAUUUUUUAAUUAAUCUAAAUAUUUUUAGAUUAGUUUUAAACAUACCAGCUAAGUAACAAUUUAGCUGUCUACUAACUAUUUCUCAAAUAGUUGAUAAAUAUAAUUUUUAAGUAACGAUUUUAAUAAAAAAAUAAUAUGAAUUUUGUAUAAAAACACCCAUAGAGUAAAAUUCACGGGCAAAGCUACAUUGCAACAUGCGUUUGGUACCCCUCUCUUUUGUCUUUUUAAAGGUCAAUUAUCAUAGUGUCCUGUUAUUUGUUAUAAAAAUGAAAAUGUUGAAAUUUUUUGAAGUUUUACGCAUUAGUCCUGCACCUACAUAGCAUCAUUUUUCUCAUCCAUUUUGCACCAUCAAUGACAUCAUUUUUCUCACCCAUUUUAAUUAAAAGGUAAUUAAAAUUAUUUUCCAUAUAGAAACAGAAUAAUAAAAUAAAAUUUUUAUUCUUAUUUUUUAAUUAAUUAUAAAAAGAUAUUUUGUAUUAAAAAAUAAACAAUCACUAGUGAGUACUGUUUCUUCGCGUGCAAUGACAUUUUUAAUUGAAAGGGGACAUGAAGGGUUCCAUUAUAUUUGAAAUUGGAUGAUUUACUUAAAGAUAGUCUCAAUGCUAGCAAAUGGUGAUAUUUAAAGUUGCAUGCUCUUUCUAAAAUAACUACAACAAUAACUAUAGGAGUUACAUUACACUACCACCUUUUCUUUUCUUUUCUUUUUUUUUUUUAAUUUAGAGACCCUCAAUUUGGUUGUUAAAGGCAAUGAACCUUAAAACGUAAUGUAGGAAGCAUAUUAGAUAAAAUAAAUUAGAAUUUACUAGAAAUUAUAAUAUUUGGGUCAAUUUAAAAUUUAGUAUUUUAUUAAAAUUUAUCUUAUUUUAUUAAGCUUACUUGAGUCAUAUUUGUAAUUCUAAUCUAAUUAGAAUUUUAGAUUAUUUCUCUUAUUUGAGAAAGAUCAGCUACUAUUAUAUAUAUAAAUUUGUUAUUCUUAAUUUAUGAUAACAGACACAAACUUCUUAUUAAUAAUUUUUAAUUUUUUCAUAAUUGAGAUAUCUUCUCCUUGGUGAGAGCAUCUUUUUAAAGUUUUCAAGACAUAAAUCAUAUUAGAGCUUUUUUCUGUACCAGGCAGAGCAUUCUUGACCACCAACUCCGUACAUUAAUUCCAUCAAGUUAAAAAAAAAAAAAACCCAACAAAACCCGAAGCCGCCAUCACAUCCGCGCCACACGGCUACUGCCGCCACUGGUUUCUCUUCUUUUCGGUCGAUCCUCUCUCCCAUCCGAAAGCCUUCGCGCCGUCAAUCAUAACCCAACCCAUAAAACCACCAUCCCGUCACCAUAGCCACGGGAAACUAGCCAAAACAGCCACUGAACCACCACGAAAAUUCGCCUCUCUAUUCGCUGCAAUCCGCCGCGAUUCACAGCCUCCACCACCACCCAUUCGUCCACGAUCAUCAGCUCUUUCUUUUCAACCCACUCACGCUGCCAACCCCCAGCUGGAUCGCCGAAAACCGAAACCAACCUCCACCCGCUACUUUAACUCAACUUUUCGGUCAAAUCACAACUAUUUGAGACAAACCACCACUACCAUCACACUCAGGACCAUCAAAUCUUCCAAAUCCACCUAUCCUAGGCCAAUUUUUUGACCACCGUCGCCGGCAACACCAACUUUUGCCUAUUUAUAAUUUUGCCCAUUUACUUUUCUAUACUUAUACUAUUACCUAUAAUUUUAUGUUCUUUAAAAAACACCCAAAAACCAAACAAACUUAUAAAAAAAUAAAUAAAUUAGAAUUUACUAGGAAUUAUAAUAUUUGGGUCAAUUUAAAAUUUAGUAUUUUAUUAGGAUUUAUCUUAUUUUAUUAAGUUUACUUGAAUCAUAUUUGUAAUUCCAAUCUAAUUAGGAUUUUAGAUUAUUUCUCUGAUUUGAGAAAGAUAAUGAUUAAUUUAGCUAUUGUUAUAUAUAUAGGCUUGUUAUUCUUAAUUUAUGAUAACAGACACAAGCUUCUCAUUAAUAAUAUUCAGUUUUUUCUCAAUUAAAAUAUCUUCUCUUUGAUGAGAGUCUCUUUCUUGAGUUUUCAAGACGUAUGAUAGAACGAAAUCUAGUAUUGCUUCCGCCCUGCGUUAAAACGUCAUCUAAUCAUAGGGUCUUAUUAUAGUUGUUUUGCAUUGGAAGGCUCAUCUAUCGCCGACAUAUCUAUUUAUCCGGCAACAUUGCCACCAUUACAUUGAUCGAAGAAUUUUGAAUACUUUGAUAGUUUUUAUUUUUCUAUUCACUCACGUCUAUUUCUUAGUGAUGAUACCAUCAUUGUUGUCAUUGGUGGUGCAAUAUUUUUUAGCAAUAUUAUUUUGGUUUUUCAUUUGAUUUACAAAACUUAAAUAUUAAAUAUAAUAGUCAAUUUUAGUCUCAUACACUUAAAUAUUACUAAUAUUCAAGUUCAUGGAUGGAUAUUGAAUAAAUCAAAUUCAGAGUAUUUUAGAUGAAUAUUAUCCAAUCUAUUCAGAUCAGAUACUUAGACAUCGAACUUGAAUGGAUUUGUUUACUCUUUCUAGCUAUUAACUUGAUUAAUAAUUCUAUUGGGUUUGUUUUUAAAACUCCUAAUAUGAUAACUCAUUCAUGACACAAUUAAUUAGUCAAUUAAUUAUAUUAAUUGACUUCUAUUUUAAUUGAUAGAUAUGUGUUGAAUUGCCAUCUCUAUUGUUAUCCAUGUGUGAUGUUAGCAAGAAAGAAGAAAAAAUAGAAAAUACUUAUUUUUAGUUUAUUUUUCUAAAGAAAUAUUUAAAUUAUUUUCAAAUAGAGUAAUUGUUUAGAAUUUUUUUACCCUUCUCUCUGAUAAGUUAAUGACUAUUUAAACAGUUGGGGUGGAGUAACAAAUACCAAUUUAUUUAAGCGUGCAAUUAAAUUAUUAUUAUUUAUUUAAGGACAAAAACUCAUUGUUAAAAAAAAAGAUUUUACAAGUUAAUAAACUAACAUUUUAUUAUUACUAGUAAAUUAACAUAUUUUUACUAUAUAAUUAAAUAGUUGAUAGUAUGUUUAAUAAAUAUUAUGUUACAAAAAAAAAUCAACUACAUAGAAUAUGAAAUUAAAUUUAUUUUUGUAUUUUGUAUAUUUCAUCUACUUGAGAUAAUAAAAUCUCUUGUGUUGAAAAACAAAAUUAUGGGUUUUGAACAUUGUUCACAUAGGUGAGAGAUAAUUGGUUGCCAUUAUGUUAAAUUAAAAAAAAAAUCAUAUUUAUACUUAUCACUAAUUAUGGUUAGUAAAUAAUAUACAUGCAUAGUUUAACUAUAUAACAAAGUAGUUAAUUUAUUAAUUUAAAUAGAUAUUAAUAAAUGUAAGAAUAAGUCAUUUAAUUGGAAAUCUAUUUCAAUGGAGUUAAAAAAAAAAAAAGAGAAUAUUAUGGAUUUAUAUGUCAUAAUUUCAAAACUUUUGAUUGUUUUUAUUUUGCAUGAACAAUAAGGGUCUUUGAUAUUAAUAACACAAUAAUCACAUCUCAGCCAUUAUGCAAUUCUUACGUUAAAUCCAACGGUAAGUUUGAAAAAGAUAAAAAAUAGGGUACCAAACCCCAUGGGUAUUGUAGCUGGACCCAAAAUUCACUCAACUUCAAAAUUACAAUUACAAGUGUUUUCAGAACUGUGGCUUACGGAAAAGCUAAACCAUGCUAGGUCUUGAAUAUGAAUUACCACCCAACACACUCAUUUUUAGCUUACACAGAGUGAAUUAUAAAAAUUUCAUGAUACAUGAAUAAUCACGAUUUAUUUUGAUUUAGAAAUAGAAACUUAAAAAGGCAUUACAGAUAUUGUAUGAUACAGUCAGUUUCCUACAUUAAUUACUCAGUUUCUUGAGAUUAAUAUAUAUACAACUUGUGCCUUCAAUUACUUUCCAGUGUUUUCUACUCGCGCAUUGAAAAAUUUAAUACAAAAAUAGGGACCAGCAAGGGCGGCAGCUCUCCUAAUAAAUCUUAUUUUUUUACAUUAUUAAUUUUGAAUUUCAAUCAAAUUUUUUAUUUGCCCCCUAAAUAAAGCUUCUGAUUCGCACCCAUGAUGAGCUUUAGGUAAAAUAUAAUAAUUAUAUUUUCAUCACACAUAUUACCUUAAAUAAGUAGAUUAUAUACAAGAUAACAAGUAAUUAUAAUCUACUUAUGAUAAUUAUUCUUGGGAGUUGUCGUAAACAUAAUUAUAAUAGGUCAACCAAUAUAUGUGACUCAUUUAAGAAUAAAUUAACAUAGUCUGUCUGUCACGUUUUAAAUUAAUUUUUAUUUUUUAAAAAAAUUAAAUGUGUUAAGCAGGUCAACACAAUUAGACACGUUGAACAAACAUGUCAUAUUAAUAAAUGAGCCGCGUUAUGUGUGAUGAAUUUUUGUAUUCUCGAAGGCAACUUGGAGAACAUUUUCUUAUUUUGUUCAGUCUUAUCAUUUCGUUGACGUUGAUUCCUUUGCUUUUGACCAUAAACAGAGGCAAGGGUUGAUAUCCAAGAAGUUCUCUUCCUUCCAUUUGACCCCACAGGUAAGCGAACAGCUCUGACAUAUAUCGACAGUGAAGGUAAAAUGCAUAGAGUCACCAACUAAUAGUAUGAUUGUCAAAAGCUAAGAGUAUGUUCUAGGACUCCGAAAUGCCAUUUGAUGUAAUUUAUGUUUUUAUUUUGACUUUCAGAUUUUAAACCUUGUGUACAACAAAUCAGAGAUGGGACGCAGAGUCAAUGCCGUGAUUAAUAAGUUUGCAGAACGAGGAUUACGAUCUCUUGCAGUGGCAUAUCAGGUAUAUGAAUUACCUAUGUCAUUGUUCUCUAAGUCCUAUCUUCACAUCACCAUAGCGGUGCAUUACUUCAAUUGGAAUUUGUAUUAACAAAGUCUAUAUUUAUUAAUUUGGUUUCAGGAAGUUCCUGAAGGAUUAAAAGAGAGCUCAGGAAGCCCAUGGCAAUUUAUUGGACUCAUUCCUUUGUUUGAUCCUCCUAUAUGAUAGUGCAAAAACAAUAAGAAUGGCACUGAGAUACAGCAAUUGGGGUGGAGAUACAGGUGAUUGAAAGAGCACCACAAGAUUUGUGUUUUUUAUGAGAGAUUUUGCUUUCACAUGAAUGUCAGGGAAGCAACUUAUUGUUACACUUUCUACCUAUGAAGUUGAGAACGUAACUACAACAUCAAGUAUUUGUCAUACAAUCUAGCUAAAGAGCUCAUUAAAGGAUUUGGGUUUGUACAAGAAGAGCUUACAGAGAUUUUCAUUGAUAACAAUCCACAGUUACCUUAACUAAGAAUCGUCUCUUCUAUUAUCCACGUAAGCAUAUUGACUCUCGCAACCAUUUCAUAUGGGAGUACAUUAAAAGAAGGAAAUACAAGCAAAGUAUGUCAAAUCACAUGAUCAAAUUGCUGAAAUAGUAUUUCUUUAUUCCAGGUUCCUUUAUAUUUGCUUUGAAUCAUUAUGUUUAAACAUUACUUCGGUGAUCUUUAACCUUUUUUAUUUUAAAAAAUGGCAGGAACACACUCCCCUUUUGAAUUUUUUUUUUUCUAUGAAAGAAUCAUAAGAACAAUUAAUUCCUACAAGAUACACUUUUGGUAGAAAAAGUUUUCCCAAUUCCAACAAAUUUUCCCCUUGCUUUUGGAUUUCAAAAUUGCUCGAAUCGAAUCCUUUCAAUUUCUAUGUCUUUUUCCUACUUAUUGAUUGGUAUUAACCCUAGAUCCUUGCCCUUGAGAAAUGAAUAAAUACUUUAUACUUGAGCUCCAUCCUGUACUAGCAAGAAGAUUUCUUCAGAUCGAGAUAUUUAUUGGGUGUUAUAAAAUAAGUUUAAGGAUGUGUUGGAUCAUAAACUUAUUUUUUUAUCUAAGUCCAAAAAACACAGUCUAGCUCAUCUCAUAGAAUUUUCUAAGUUAUGUGAGCUUGGGUGAUAGGUAGAAUUUGUGGUUGUAGGUUUAGUAGGUAAGAUUAAAUAUCCAUUAUAUUCCAUAAAAGACAACCAGAGUAAAUGAUAGUUAGAGUUAAUAAAUUAGAAAUAGUAGGGGUUAAAAUGCCACGCGAAACAUGAUUCUGUUUAGUAAUUAAAUAAGCAAUUUGGAUGAUUCACUUGAAAUAGGAUUAUAUUUAAUAAUUAAAUAAGCCUGAUCAAUCUAGCACUUUAAUUCAAUAAUUCAUUAAGACACUAGUAAAUCUUAGUCUCUGAAAAAUGGCAUUACAAUAACCACCCCCAAGCUUCUAUUAUCCGAACUUGCAUCUAAUCUUAAAUGGGUUCCCUCUAAUUUUGAUUUUUGUUUUAAUUAUUUAAGUUAAAUUGUUAAAUUCAUCUUGCUAACUAUUUUUGAAUUGUUUUUUUUUCUUAGGAGAAUGGACAUAAGCUAUAGUAAUUCAGUCUACACAAUUAAUGAUUCCAGUGUUGAAGAUGAUGAUGUAAAUAGAGAUGACCAAUGGGCCGGGCAGCAUGAGGCACGACACGGGCACUGCACGUGUCUGUACAGCAUGGCAAGACACGAGCACGUUUCAGUAGGGCACGUGCGUGCCGUGCCAUACCCAGAAUUUUAGGCACACGGGCCUUAAAAGUACGGUACAAUUAAAGAUGUACUAAAGCACGGCACGCAAAAAGUCACAUAAUAAGCACGCUUUAUUAGUGGGCUAAGUACGCGGCAUGUGAGCCAUCAAUAGUACGUGGACCAUAGUAUAUCAAAGUAAAAUUUUUUAAUGAAAAAUAAAUAUAAAAUAUCAUGAAUUUGCAAAUAUCUUGCAAUUAAAUUUUUUAAUAUAUUUUUUUAGCAUAGGCUUUUAAAAAUUAAUUUAAGUCCUAGUUUAAAUAAAUAUUCUAAUUUUUUAUGUUUAUAAUCUAUUAAGUGAAUAAAUAAAUAUCAUGAUUUUAUAAAUGAUAAAUAAAAAAUUUUACGACAUUAAUAUUUCAUUUAUGAAAUCAUAACUUAGUUAAUAGUUAAUUAAGAUAUGUUUCAUUUGUGAAUUAAAUAUUUUUCAUAUUUAUGAACAAAAAAAAUAAAAUUAUGAAAAAAAUAUUUUUGUGAUAAAUUAAAAAUUACAUUUUCAUUCAAUGGAGUUCAAGUGCAAUUAUAAUUUUAGUAGUUCAAAUAAAAUUAGGUGUAAUUAUUAUUUUAAGAUUGUAAUUUUAUUUUUCAUUAAUCAUUACUAUGAUCUAUGAAAUUAUUAUUAUUAUUAUUAGGCUAGUGGGCUUUUUAAGGCACGCUGGACAUGUGGGCUUAAAAGAAAAAAAAAGAUUGGUGGGUUUUUAUACCGGCCCACGGGUCUGUGUGGGCCGAUGUUUGGUGGGCUGGAACAGGCCAUUGGCCAUCAUUUGAUGUAAAUGACAUAAUCAAAAUGGAAGAUAAGAUUGAAAAAAGUUUCAAAUUAGCAAAACCAAAGGGACCACAACAAAGAAAACUAACUUCAGAAGUUUGGACAUUGUUCUAUAAGGUUUCAUGAGAUAAAUAUCCAGACAAUAAACCAAGAGCAUUUUGUAAAAAAUGUGGCAUUAAGUAUGUUGUUGUGAGCAAUAUUAUCAUUAUUGUGUUUUUUUUCAUUAACUCUAAACGAUGCUUCAAGUAAUGAUGUUUGUGUUGCACUGUUAAAAAGUCAACUGAGAUUAAAGAAUACUUUGAUGUGUAAUGGGGAUUUCUUUAUAUUUGAUGUUAUUCUCAUAUUAUUAUAUUGAUUGUUCAAAAAGGAUUGAAAGAAAUUGAGCAAGAAAUAGAAAAAGCCCAUGAGAGUAUAAAAUAUGUCAAAGGGUCACAAAUUAGAAAAAGAAAAUUCUUAGAGUGCGUUAAGUAAGUAUCUCUAGAUGACAAGAAAAGAUUAAGACAAGAUGUUCCUAUAAGAUAGAAUUCAACUUUUCUUAUGCUUGAUAAUGUUAUGUAUUACAAAAAUGCUUGCUAUCAUUUACAAUGAUGUGAUUCUAAUUACAAGAGUUGUUUUUUGAAUAAGAGUAGAGGAAAAUAGAGAAAAUUGACAAAUUCUUGUCUAUAUUUUAUGAGAUCAUACGCAUUCUUUCCAGGUCAAAAUACCCCAGCUCAAGUUUGUAUUUUCAAAGGUGUUUGCGUCUAAUGUUGUUUUGGAUCCAUUAUUGCAUAGUGAGGAUGUAUUUCUGAAAACUAUGGCAUAGAAAAUGAUCGAAAAGUUUGAGAAGUAUUGGUUUGAUUUUUGUACCAUUUGGUCAAUAGUGGUCAUCUUGCAUCCUCGAUACAAGAUGACAUUCAUUAAAUUUGCCUAAGACAUUACAUGUGAUCAAAAUUUAGAGGAGUUAGAACUUGUUCAGGAUAAGUUUUUUUCAGCUUUUAGUGAGUACAAUUUUAUCACACUAUCUUCCUCCACCACAUCCAUACUCACUCAAAUGAGUGAUGUCGGUUCAAGUGUGGGACAUAAUGACAAUAGUUAAAAUACACUUAAUCAAUGGACCAUGGAACUAUUUAAGGUACAUUUACAAUUUUCUUUUAUGUUUAUUGUAAAAAUUAUUAUUUCCUUAUUUGUACUUGUUUUGGAUUUUGACUAUUCUUAUUUCUUAAUUAUUUUGUAGGAGUUUGAUGAUCUUGAUAGCAUGGAUUGUCAUGCCUAUGUUAGAAAAUCUGACUUAGAGUCUUAUUUAUAUCAAUCAAAAAUGGAUAGAAAGAUUGAUUUAAACAUUCUAAGUUUUUUGAAAGGAAACGGAUUUCGUUAUCCUAACCUUUCUUACAUGGCUCGUGAUAUCUUAAGCAUUCCUAUAUCCCCUGCUGCAUCUAAAUCAGCUUUUAGUGUUGCCAAUCAAGUUCUUGAUCAGUUUUAAAGUGCAUUGAAAUCAAAGCUUGCCCAAGCAAUUGUUAUUAUAAGAGAUUGGAUAUUUGGAGAGAUUGUAAGACUUUCACAUGAAACUAAUUUAUUUUUCUUUUAUAAUAUUAUAUUCAAUUGUUUCUAAUUAAGAUUUAUUUUUAUAAAAUUAGAGCAUGUUUGGUACUUCUCAUUAUAUGGUAUUAAAACCCCUCAAAGUAUUAAAGGAUUAUAAUACCAUGUUUUGUAAUUUUAAUGUAUAGUAUUGUAAUGUAGUCAAAUAUCUAAUUUAUGUGGUCAAAGCCACACAUACUAAAUCUAUGGGGGAAUCGGGUUUAUGCGGGCUUGUAAAUUACAAUUAUUUUGAGACAAGGUUCUCCCUAUCGUUUGCGUCUCAGAUGAAACAAUCGCUAUUGCAAAGGCAUGGCAGGGAAAGAGGAAGAAGCCAAGAUAAAAGCACUCAAUAUACUUGUUGAGCCACUCAUUUACCAAACCAAUUCUUACAAAUUCCUCAAAUCCUCCAUCAACAAAGCCUCCAAGAAACUGAAGACCAUAAAAAUUGAAAACCUAGCUAAAAUCUCCACCAAAAAGUCCACGACCAAAAUGAUAGACCACGUCAAGAUUAGCCUCAAAGAAUCUAGCCAUGAUUUGUCCUUGUUCAAGUUCAAAUAUGAAACCAUUGUCACCCUCAUAUUGUUCGAAGAGAAAGUUGUGGUGAAAUUAUCGUUCAAGCCCUGUGGGAUUGUCAUGAAAAUGAGCCAUCGUAGGUUACAAGGCGACAUGUUAAAGUGAGAGUAAAAUAGAAACUUACACUUUUGCCACAUCAUUUCGAUCUGGGAUGGAUUGGCCGAUGAAAUUGCUUGGAAUUCAGUAGUUGGGGCCUAGGGUAUCAUCAAAUUUACGCAUGUUAAUAAAACAGAAGUAGAGAAGCAUCAAACGCCACUCAGCAACUUAAGUAAAUUGGAAUGUGCAAACGAAAUGGAACUUGUGAUUGAUAACCAAUCAAUAUUUUAGUGAAAAAAAAAUUGAAGCAGUGAUUUCAACGCUUGAUAAAUACGUUACCAUUUUAGACUCUAAAAUGCAGUCUUUAUACCAUCAUCGUCCAUGUUCUUGAAUAAAUAAAGCUUUUCUAUUUAUUGCUUUUUUAAAAAAAUCUCCCCAUCGUUAUUUGAAUGAGCUAGCGGCUUUUAUCUUUAUUUCACAAGUUAUAUAUUUAGAAAAAAAAAAUGUUAUGCAGUUGAAAUUUUAAAAUUUGUUAGUUUUACAUAUGUUAUAUGGAGAAUUAUAAUUUUUUUUUUACAUUUAUACUAAAAAAAUUAAUGCAAAAGUUCUAAAGUUCAAAUUUUCUAUAUUUAGUAUUUUCCUAAGUAUUGUACUAAUAAAUAUUAUUUUCUCAAUAUAUAAUUUAAAACAAUCACCAAAAAAGAUUAAUACAAUACAUACAGCACCAAAAAUAAUAUAAUUAAAAAUUAAUAUAGUACAUUGUAGUACUAAAUGUUGUAUGGUAUUAUUAUAAUACAGUUCUAAUGUAAUACAGUGUAAUAAAUAAACUUGUAUUAAUAUAAUACAAUACAGUGCGUCAAACACACCCUUAUUGUAGAAAAUUUUGAUGUCAUUGUGGCCCAACUUACUGAAAACAUUAUGAACAUGAGUAGUAAUAGUGCUCGAUCUCAAGAGAUGAAGAGAGUGCCAAUGAUGCUAGUGACAAUGUGGGAGUGUGAUAGGCAAAGUUUUAUCUUGCUGACUUUUCUUGCCUUUGUAAGCUUAAUUAUUAUUUCCUUAUCAAUACUACAAAAAUUAGUAUAUAAUUGAUAUUUUAAAAUAUUACAAUGACUCUUAUCAGUGUUGCAACAUGUUAAUAUUAUUCUAUUUACCUUUUUCUUGUAGGACUAUUGUUUUCAAUGUGACAAAAACAAAAUGAAGAGAAUUAAAGAAAUCACCUUGGUUUAUAAUUUGAAUUUUAAUUGGGGUUAGUUAAUUAAGGGCUUGGGUCGGGCUUUUUCAAGCUCAAGCCCAAGCCCAUUCCCAUUAGAUAAGAGUGAAAGGGUUGGACCUGGGCCGAGCCCACUACGGGCCUGGGUUGGGCUUAGGCCGAACUUGAACUUUUACUUUUUCGUUCAAUUUUUUAAAAAAUUGUUGUAAACUUGAAAUAAAUUAAUACUAAUCCAGUUGUUAUAAUUAACAAUAAAUUAAAGAAAAUAAAUAUUUCAAAAUAAAAUAAUAAAUAAAGUAAAUAAAAAUUUAGAGAUUUAAUUUUUUAAUAUUGAAUUCUCUAAUUUAAGCACUCUCUUAAUUAAUUAACACUUAAAAGAGAAUUUAGUAUUAUAAUUUUAAGUUUUUUUAAAUUUAUUAUUGAUAAUAAAUUAGGAAUUUAAGCUUACUUUUUUUUAUUAUUUUUCAAAUUUGAAUUUAUUAUUCUAAUCCCGAAAGUUCAAUUCAUUUAAUAAAUCAUAAAGUGUUAACCUAAUUCAUUUACGAUUCGAUUUAAAUUCGAUUCGUUUAUUCGUUUGACCACCCCUCCACACCUAACAAAAUUGGCAUCUCCACAUAACUUUAUGGAACCUCUAAUAACCUUAUGAAUUGCUGAAUUCCUAACUACAGUCUCACUUAAAGCUUUUUAACUCUUCGAGUGGGUAGUGAGUUCAAGUACAUAUUUUGUAGUAGAUUUUAUAUUUAAUUAGUUUGACAAUAAUUUAGUUUCUUCCUCACUUACGUGAAUAUAGUUUGAACUUUAAGCUUUUUAUGUCAUCCCAAAAGAUUAGACCGGUUAAGCUUAUUAGCAAUUUGGAUCCAAGUUUAUACCAAUCCGCAGGCGUUUUAUGUACAGUUAACAUUAAUUUACACGUUAUUUUUGUAUCUAAUAACUACUUAUCACAAUCAUACAUAUAAAAAGUCAUCACAAAUGAAUCCACAGUGCGCCAGCUGCAUAAAUUGACUUAGAAUGUUGGGGUUUAUGUUUUCCUUACACUUGUCCUGAGUGUUUUGGUAAGACAAGUCAUCUUCUUUUUAUAAUAUGGAGCCCUAAACAAACGGCCUGGCCAUGCAGAGACACUUUACUUACUACAGUAGUGUGGAUACAAUCAUUUACAGAAGGGUUGUUUUCACUGAAAUUAUAAAUUAAUCUACAAGGAAGAAAAUAAGAGGAAAAGUCAGAACAUGAGAACAGAUCAGCACAAAUAAAAAUAAAAAAUUUAAAAAAUGAAGGCAAGAUAGAACAUACAGACACAAAAAAAGAAAUCUUGCACUGAAAGAAAGCUGCCGCUUAUAGCUUCUAGAGAGAGAGAGAGAUUAAAACUAUUCUCUCCUUCUAUCUCUACAAACAGAGAAUUUUCUCAAAUUAAAAGGUGAAAAGCAAAACACAUUACUCUGUUUUUGAGUCUCUCUCUGUGUCUUUCCAUCGUUUUUUUUUUUUUCCUGUGAUUUUGUUUUAACAUGAUUUGUUUAAUUACUUGGUUUUUAAGGGGUUUGAAGGAAGGCAACGAAAGUGAAGAAAGUGAGUUUAUUGAGAAGAAAUGGAGAGCAUAACGAAUGAAGCUGUGGAUUUGGUAUUGAAAGUUUGAAACAGAGUUUAUCAUCUCGGUUCUUGAUUGCUUUAUUACUGUUUUUUGCGUUUUUGUUUUUAGUUUACCAUUAAGAAAAAGACACCGACGCCCCUAUGGCUUUGCAAGAUAUAGUCGUGGUGAUCUUUUUAUUUUUGGAAAAAUCGUUACAUAGACUGAUAGAUCUCUUUGAUGACAAUUAUGUUUUUUGAUUGUAAUAAAUUUUAUCGGAAAAAAGUUGGCUAAAAAGUUAUCUAUGUGAUAAUUUCCAAAAAUAAGAGUAUGUUUAUGACUAUUUUGUCACGUUUUCUUCAGUGUUAUUAAGUGUUUUUGCUUUCUAGGUAUUUUGUUUUGUGAGGAAGUUCAGGUUUUUGGUCUGCAGGAAAACGUGCCGACGGACGAGGUUUUUGAGACUUUGAAGUGCAGUCAAGAGGGCCUUUCAACGGAGGCUGCUGAGCAGAGACUUUCCAUAUUUGGCUACAACAAGCUUGAGGAGAAAAGGGUAAUUUUACUUUUUGCUUUUUUUUUUUCCUUGCUAGCUAUUUUAUUGGAAAGUUAUAUUAAUAAAAAAAAGAUACCCUUUUAAUGAUUGUAAGACAUUUUGCUUUUGUUGAUUGUAUUUUUUUUAUUAUUAUUAUUUGCAUUUUAUUUUACUUAUUUAUUUAUUUAUUUUUGGCAGGAAAGUAAAAUUUUGAAGUUUUUGGGAUUUAUGUGGAACCCUCUCUCAUGGGUCAUGGAAGCUGCAGCUAUCAUGGCAAUCGUACUUGCAAAUGGAGGAGUGAGUAUUGAGUACUGUUAUUCAAAUUAUAUUUUAAAAAUUUGUUUUAGAAAAAAAAAUGGUGUUUUCUAUUUGAUGUUUUUGGAAAUGAAAAUAUCUUUAUUAACUCAUUUUGUAAACAACAUCUUACUGUUGGCCAUUUCAUUUUUGCAGGGUAAACCUCCUGAAUGGCAAGAUUUUACUGGGAUAGCAACCCUGCUUCUUAUCAAUUCAACAGUUUGUUUCAUUCAGGAGAACAAUGCAGGUGCUGCCAGCGCAGCUCUCAUGGCUCGUCUUGCUCCUAAAGCUAAGGUACUGACUACGCUUGAAUAGUUGUCAGGAUAAGAUUAUUGGUGAGUUAGUGCAUAUGCAUAUCUAAUAAAUUUAUUAUUAAGUUCAUAUCAACUUAACUCAAUGAGAAUUGAAAUCAGAAACUGUUAUGUCAUAUUAAUUUGUAAAAUAAUACUCCGUAAGAAGAGAUUGUGGCUCUAGGCUCUAGCAUUCCUGUAAUUGGAGAUAUUAUUUCAGGUCCUUCGAGAUGGAAACUGGAAGGAGGAAGAUGCAGCCAUUCUUGUCCCUGGUGAUGUCAUCAGUGUUAAGCUUGGUGACAUUAUUCCUGCUGAUGCUCGUCUCUUCGAAGGUGAUCCAUUGACAAUUGAUCAGGUGAGCUUUUGCAAACUUUGUAUGUUUGAAUUGAUUUGGUAAAGUUGAGCUGUUUAAUUUAACUUCUUUCAAUUUGUACGUUGCAGUCUGCUCUCACAGGCGAGUCUCUUACCGUAAGUAAGGGUCCUGGUGACUGUGUAUAUUCAGGCUCUACGUGCAAACAAGGGGAGAUUCAAGCUGUGGUCAUAGCCACUGGUGUUCGCACCUUCCUUGGCAGAGCUGUACAUCUUGUGGAUACCACAAAUCAAGUGGGUCACUUUCAAAAGGUAAGAAAACACGAAUUCACAUUCCUUAAGACUCUUUUUUUAUGUUUAAUUUCACAUUAUCAUUCACCGAAACGUUUUUUCUUUUUUGUUGGGGGGGGGCGGGCUUGUUUACAGAUCUUGUCUGCAGUUGGGGAAUAUUGUAUUUGUUCAAUUGCACUGGGGUUAAUAGCAGAGAUCAUUGUCAUGUACGCGAUUCAACACAGGGAAUACCGCACAGGACUUAAAAAUUUACUUGUGCUUCUUAUUGGAGGAAUUCCUAUUGCCAUGCCUACUGUUUUAUCAGUGACAAUGGCGAUUGGUUCCCAACGAUUGUCUUUGAAGGUUGGUCUUAGUUGUUAUUUAUAAUGAUGUUACUUUAUAUGGUCAUUAGUUGACGAUUGCAAGCAUAUAUGGGCUAAUUACUGCAGGGAGUUAUCACAAAGAGAAUGAGUGCAAUAGUCGAUAUGGCCGGCAUGGAUGUGCUUUGCUGUGACAAAACUGGAACUCUAACUUUUAACAAAUUAACAGCUGACAAGAAUCUAAUUGAGGUUGGUGUAAAUUUUGCUCACUGUUAGAAUUACAAUGUGUAUUUCAACAUUUGGCCUGGAUCAUUGUUCAGAUCUUUGCUAGAGGAGUGGACGUAGACGAUGUUGUUCUGAUGGCAGCUCGAGCCUCCCAAGUGGAAAACCUAGAUGUAAUAGAUGCUGCUAUAGUAGGAAUGUUGGCUGAUCCAAAGGAGGUAUAUUUAUGAAUUCUAGAAUUUCAUGUAUCUAUUUUAAUCCAAAGAAGGUAUAUUUAUGAAUUCUAGAAUUUCAUGUAUGUAUUUUAUUCUAGUUAAGCUUAACUGUUGUUGAAAUUUUGUUUUCUCAAAGGCAACUUGUAGAAGAUUUUCUUAUAUUUUCGUCUUAUCAUUUUGUUGACAUUGAUUUCUUUGCUUUUGACCAUAAACAAGGCUAGGGCUGAUAUCCAAGAAGUUCACUUCCUUCCAUUUGACCCCACAGGUAAGCGAACAGCUCUGACGUAUAUCGACAGUGAAGGCAAAAUGCAUAGGGUCACCAAAGGUGCUCCAGAGCAGGUAUGAUUGUCAACAACUAAUAGUACGUUCUAGGAUUCUGAAAUGCCAUUUUACUUAACUUAUGCUUUUAUUUUGAUUUUCAGAUUUUAAACCUUUUACACAACAAAUCAGAGAUAGGACACAGAGUCAAUGCCGUGAUUAAUAAGUUUGCAGAACGAGGAUUACGAUCUCUUGCAGUGGCAUAUCAGGCAUAUGAAUUACCUAUGUCAUUGUUCUAGGUCCUAUCUUUGCAUCACCAUAGCAGUGUAUUACUUCAAUUGCAAUUUGUAUUAACAAAGUCUAUAUUUAUUAAUUUUGUUUCAGGAAGUUCCUGAAGGAUCAAAAGAGAGCUCAGGAAGCCCAUGGCAAUUUGUUGGACUCAUUCCUUUGUUUGAUCCUCCGAUACAUGAUAGUGCAGAAACAAUAAGAAGGGCACUGAGUCUUGGGCUGAGCGUGAAAAUGAUCACAGGUGCUUCUCCCAUUUAUUGUAUUAUAUGUCUUCCUAAUUUGUUAUCUUAAUAUUUAGUCUUUGUUUAGGCAGUAGGCACCAUUUAUAUAUAGAGAAAUUUUGUUGGUUCUGGUUUUGUUUAAUCCUUCUAUCUGAAAAAAUGCUAAUAUGUCAGUUUUCUUUUGCAUUGCUGGUGGAAUCUAAAUGCUCUUAUGGUUUUACUUUUUUAGAAUGUUUUAAUUGGCGUUUUCUUUACCUUAAGAUAGAUAUUCCAUCUGUUUGACUUUUCCUCUUUCUCAGGUGAUCAACUUGCAAUAGCAAAAGAAACAGGACGUCGUCUUGGAAUGGGAACCAACAUGUAUCCUUCAUCAGCCUUAUCAGGACAGGACAGGCAUGAGUCGAUAGUUGCUUUACCGGUUGACGAGUUGAUUGAGAAAGCUGAUGGGUUUGCUGGUGUUUUCCCUGGUACGAAGCUUGAUCUCCUAAUUUGCAUUGAGUAGUCAUCCACAAACUGAAGUUAGUGUUGUAUAGCUUUUAUUGAACUUGAUGUAUGCAUCACUACAUCCUACAACCUUUUCAUUAUAUUUUAAUCAUACAUAUUUCUUUUUUUAUACCUUUGUUUACACAGCUGUCCUUAUUUUCUUUAUAGAGCACAAAUAUGAGAUUGUGAAGCAUUUGCAAGCUAGGAACCAUAUCUGUGGAAUGAUCGGUAAUGGCGUCAAUGAUGCUCCUGCUCUAAAGAAAGCAGACAUUGGCAUAGCUGUUGCUGAUGCAACUGAUGCAGCUCGUAGUGCUGCCGACAUUGUCCUGACAGAACCUGGCCUUAAUGUUAUCAUUACUUCUGUUCUAAUUAGUCGAGCAAUAUUCCAGAGGAUGAGAAAUUACACGGUGAGGGUUGGUUUUGAUUCUAAGGAAAAGGUGUUCUAUAGUCGAUAGUGUAGUGAAGGAUGGGAUUUGUGUGAGGGAAUUCACAACCUGUCUAAUUCUAUAUAUUCCACAUUCCUUAACCGACAAACAAACUAAUAAUUUUAAAGCUUACAUUUUACACUGCUUGAAUGCCUGGUGGUGAAGAAAGCACUGAGAUUGAAAUAACAUGUCAUUGUUCUGUAAAUUACUUUUAGAGCCUGAGGUGGAAAAUAAUAAAUAAUAUAAUAAACCAAGACGUUGGCGGUGGUGCUGUUCAUGAAAACUUGAUUUUUGUGGGCAUUGAUAACUUCUUUACACUGUCUCAGACUUUUGCAAAAUUGAAACAAGACACGAGCAUUGUUUACUUGAAUUAGUUGAUUCCCUCUUGCUCUGUCCCCACUUUUUGCUGCUUAAUUACUUUCUUUCUUGUCGCAGAUAUAUGCAGUCUCCAUUACCAUCCAUAUUGGAGUAAGUUGUUCACUGCUUGUUUCAAAUACUAUGUAGGAGAGUAUUGUGUAAUUUAUUUGGUAAUUGCAACUUUAAUCUUCUAUGAUAAUUAUUGCCCUACUGAUGAAUAUGAAAGAGUCUUCACAAUAGUAGCUUGAAUAUCUCAGCUUGACGUCUUAACUAUUUGUCUUGGUGACAGUUUGCUUUCAGGCUGCUAGCUCUCAUCUGGCAGUUUAACUUUCCACCCUUCAUGGUGCUGAUAAUUGCGAUUCUUAAUGAUGGUGUGUAUUUCCUUGACUCAGCAUGUAUAUCGUAACUGUUUGUGUUCUUUUUCAUCCAGGUGUAUCGAUUUCAAAUAAGAAAUACACUUAUCUAUUGAUAUUUACCCGGUACAUUGAUUGCCAGGUGCUAUUAUUAUGACAAUAUCAAAAGAUAGAGUGAGACCAUCUCCUCAUCCAGAAAGGUGGAAUUUGAUCCAGAUCUUUGUAACUGGAAGCAUUCUUGGUGGUUACUUGGCAAUGAUGACUGUGAUUUUCUUUUGGACAGCAUCCAGGACAGACUUCUUUCCAGUAAUGUGAUUUAUCUUUUGUGUUAUCAUGUCACCCAAUUCGGGUGUUAUGUAUGCUCGUUUUCCUUGAUUUAAUAAUAUAGAGAAUAAUAUAUGCCUUUACAUUGUCUUCAAUAAGUUGGACUGAAACUUGGUAUGCAACAUUCAGCGUACAUUUGGCGUUUCAAGUCUUAACAAAAAGGAUGUGGAUGACUGGAGAAAACUUGUCUCGGCAGUGUACCUGCAAGUGAGUUCCAUUAGUCAAGCCCACCUAUUCGUGACCCGUGCAAGGAGUUGGUCUUACGUCGAGUGUCCUGUCCUGUUCCUUGCUCUGGCUUUCUUUGUUGCUCAGCUGGUGGGUGAUAUAUGCUGUUUUCUUUGGCCUUUGUGACAUACAGAGGAUGAGUUGAUCCUUUUUAAUUCUGUGAGCAGAUUGCUACACUGAUUGCCGUCUAUGCAACCUGGAGCUUUGCUACAAUUGAAGGAAUAGGAUGGGGUUGGGCUGGUGUGAUUUGGCUUUAUAAUAUCAUCUUCUACAUUCCGCUUGAUUUUAUAAAGUUCUUCAUCCAAUAUGUGCUUAGCAGAAAAUUUUGGGAUCUUGUCAUUGAACAAAAGGUAUUGAUGGCUUGAGUUCAACAAAUUUUAUUCAAGUACUGGAGCUUAAUUUCUUGCUCACUCUCCAUGGUGUAAUUGCUAUUUUGCAGAUUGCCUUCACGACUAAAAGAGAUCUCCGAAAAGAAAAACGUGAGCGAUGGGCACAGGAGCAGACCACCCUCCAUGGGUUGCACCCUCUUGACACCAGUAUGUUCAGUGUACGAAGCAGUUACCGAGAACUUAGCCGGAUGGCUGAAGAAGCAAGAAGAAGAGCUGAGAUUGCUAGGUAAAAAUAUAAAUAUAACACCAACAAACUACAUUACUUAAUUUCUACUCUUAAAAGCCGAAAUUUAAUGCUUGGAGUGUACACUCUUAUGCAUUCACUAUUUUGAUUUUUUGUAGAUUGAGAGAACUGCAUACACUGAAAGGGCACAUUGAAUCACUGAUUAGGCUUAAAGGACUGGAUAUCGACGCAAUUCAGCAAUCCUACUCCGUCUGAUUACAGGUCAUACAUGACACAUUCAUGGGCAUGGAACAUAUGAUGAGAUUGCAGAUAUAAGCCCUUAGUCCACAAGUAAUUAUGCAAUUCAUCCUGAAAGAGUUAUGAUUGCAUAUCUGAUGUACAUAUUUGCCCAUCUGGGUUCUGUUUUUCAGUUUUACAUUUGGUGUUUGAAGAAACAAUAUGAUGGGUUUAAGUACUACACGGCCACUAUUUGUGAUACAAACCAUAGUAAGAGAUGGGUUUAAGUACUAUGCGCCUAUGCGGCUAACACUCCUGAUACAAACCAUAAUAAGAGUAAUAUAUUUCCCCACC